UUUUUUCUUUGUUUCCAUUUUUUUAGGCAAUAGAUUUUGUUGUUGCUUGGCCAAAAAAGAUUAUCCACAUAAAUACACAAUAACAUUUUGGACCUAAAUAGAUAGUUGUAGGGAAAUAAAUUCUCAAAUCAAAUUUUCUAUUACUUUUUGCUUCAUAAAGCUGAUACAUGAACCGUACAGAGAUGUUCCUAAAGACACAGAUUUUUCUGAAAAUAUCAAGUGUCUUUGCCAGUGCAAUUGUUAUUUGUUUAUCUAGUGAAACAGCAACUGAAUUUUUUUGGCAAAAUCUCCAACAAGCUUCUAGACAAAAAAAUAAAAAAAAAAAUAAAAAAAGCUUCUAAACACUUUAAAUCAAGAUAUACAUUUACUACCUUCCUUGAAGAAAAACCCAUAUGUCAAAUCUUUUACAAUCAAGGCUUUCAUCCUUCUUCUCGUGUCGUUUGAAGUCGGGCUUUUGAUCUUUCUUCUCGAACCAUUACUACAAGAUGGAACGAGCUUUUAGGAAUGCUGAUUCUGAAAGAGGAAUGGAUAGAUUUUCUGGUAAGUAUGGAUUCUGAUGUGAUAUUGAUUAUUGGUGCUAACCGGAUAGAAAGGAAAAAAAAUGAUCUUUUUGUUAUUUCUAAUUUAUUUAAGAAUUGAAUACUUAUCUUUGGGAUUUGUACACAAUUUCAAAUAGCGUUCUUCCUUGAUCCAAGAUUCAUCAUAUCAUGGAUAUUACUGGUUAAAGAGAGAAAUUAUCCCUUCUAUAUUCACAGAGCUCUGCAAUGAAUAGACUAGGAUUGAGCUGGUGGGUGGCUUUGACUGGUGAACAGCUGAAGAAUAGCCUGAAUGGUGGAAGCAAAGAAAAUAUAUAUAUAUAUAUAUAUAACAGACGAAAUUGAUUAAUUGAUUAGCCAAAUUAAUUUCUAUUAUAAUUCAAUUUGAUUUCAAUUUUUGUCAAAAUUUUAUUUUUAUAUUUUCAUUUCAAUCUUCAUAUCUAAAAUCAAAUUCAAUCAAAUUUAUUUAACUGAUCAAUGAUUAACUAACUGAUUAUCACCCUUCAUUAUAAAUACUGCUCUUUUUUUUUUAAAACCUCUAUUUAGAAUUGAUGCUAUCAUGAUAUUAUCAGUACCAUGAUUGCUUAAAUUACAUAUAGACUGCCGAUGGGGCUUGACUUGCUUGAACACCACCUGUUUGGAAUGGCUCGAACAUGGCUUAGUUCAUUUAAUAGUGUUAAACCAUAUUAAUUUAUUUAUGUAAUAUUUAUAAAUGUAUUAAAUCAAUAUAAUUUAAAUGAAAUAAAUUGUUUCUAUGCCCCAGUCCUUUUCAAUUAUUUCUAUUUUUUCUAUACGUCCAUAUUUUCACCAAUGCAAGAAGAUCCAUCUUUAAUAUCACACAAUCAUUCAAUUUUUUUGAUUGCAUGUUACAUAUGAUUUGUUAAGUAAUUUCCUUCACUCUAUGGACAUGCUUUGAAUCACAUAGCCACUCAAUGUAUGCUAGUGUAGAUUUUCUAAAUACUAAAAUGAAUAAAAUUUGGCAGAAUCUCCCCUGUUUUUGGAACAUUUGCCACUUAAUCAAAAUCGCAAGACCAACCAAAUCAAGAUAUGAUUUGAGAUACCUUCACUUUAUGUACAUCUAUAACACGUAGGCAGGAAAGAGCUAUUGAUUACAAAAACAAGUCAAUAAGAGGACAGUAUACAUGGAAAAAAAUGUGUUUAUUUGUCAACACAUCCUACAAAACUUGCCCACAUUGGAACCAAUUUCGGACUAUCAACUUGGUUUUCAUCUGAGCUUGUUGAAUACACGAAAGACUACUCUGUCUCCAUACAACAACAUCAAUCCAUCGCAAAGUGGUCAUUCCAAAAUAAAAUAAGGGAUAUGGAACUAGUUUUACAGCUAAUUAACACAAAAUACAGGAUUCCAAGAAUGGCAUAAUUUUACAGCCAGUUAGGCAUUACAUGGCUAACUAGUUUCCGAUCAAUUUGAUUUCUCUAUGCCUCGGUGUCACUGAAUUUAAGACCUUUGAGCUAAUAAUAACUUUCGCUUCUCUUCAAGUUGAAAUUUUCAGUUUUAGAACUUUGCGUACCAUCCUCAGCUUCAACCUCCAAAUUGUUUUUCCUGCGUCUCGUUUUGAGAAGUUACAGUCGCAUUAGUGAAGAGUGAAGUCAAAGUUUGAGGGGAAUAAGUAAAUGAAUAGCCAAGUAUAAACAAGUAGCUUUCAGCUGAAUGAACUACAUUUCUAGCUAUAAACUAGUACUUACAGCAAGAGAAGCCCCUCCAUUCUUGUUUUUAUAAGCAAUAUUAAAGAAAGCCAUAGGUCCAGAUUUUUCAUUUGCUUCAGGGGUUUAUCGAAAAGGCAACAUUCCAACGGUAUUAGAACAAAUUAGCUACCCCUACUGAGAUAAAGUGCUAAUUAAUAUGCUAAUUAAAGUGAGAAAGCUAAAGGACUACAUUGGUUCAAUCAGUUCAUGGUGACCCUGUGUGAAAGACUUUGAUACCAUCUCAUGAGCAAACUCCGUAUACAGUCGACUACUUCUAUAGGCUGCCAAUCGAGUCUACACAUGAUCUAUAUGGUCACUAUUGACAUAUAAUACUUUACAGUUGAUAUCACAUACCUUCCACUCUGGACGGGUUUACUUAAUCGUGUUAGAUAAGGAUUAUGAUCAUUGGAAACUCUAAAUUCCAGUUUUAGAGCUCAAAACAAGAGGUCCACACUAAUAUAUCAAUUAAUACACCAUUCGUGUUCUUCAAAAGCCAAAGCGAAGACAACUCUGUUUAGUAAUUCUGUUUUAGACAUUUAAACAUAAGCUUUAUGGAUAUGACGGAUCUGUCUAAUUUCUCAACAUUUUAUUAGUCAGAGAUCCAAAAUUUUUCCAACUUGAUUAGACAAUCUACUGGCCCAUAAAUUUCAUAGAAAUACACAAACAUCUUCUAAUGCAAAUCCAAGUGAUAAAAAAACUGAGAAUCACUGUCAUAUGACAAAAUGAGUCCUAUAUAUGUCAUGCUAUUAUACAAAUUCUCAAUCACGUGAAAGAAUUUUAUUUUAUAGAUAUCGUAUUUUCUUCUAAAAAUGAAACGGGCUUUUCUUAGUUUUUAGGUUCCUUGGAUUUUAGUUUUAAAAUGUGGAAGAAAAUUUUCUUUCUAGUAAAGAAUUGAGCCUGUAAGAUGAAGGGAAAGUGCUACUAAUGUACUAGCAAUAAGUUGGUGGGACAUCAAGAAAACCUCUCUCUUGAAUAUUUCACAAGAACAUACAUUGAAAGAAUUGCAAAAUAAACCUACAUUUAUUCUAUACUACAGGGCAGGGAGGGAGGACUAAAGAGGCCCAAAGAGAAACCGGUAGAGAGAUAAAGUUUGAAUCCUUGACCUCCCACCCCACCAAGCCUUACAGGCUAUGGUGGUAGCCACUAAGCCAAGGUCAGUGAUUAAGUCUCGCUGCUAGUCAAUGUUUUACCAAAGGAAACUCCGGUUAUUUCUCAAGCGAGAACCUAGGGCUUCCUCGCCAAUGAACUAUGGUCAUCCUCGCCAUUGCAAAGUGUGUAGGUUACUAGCGAUGAAACUUUGCAAGGAAAAUUUGGUUCCUCGCUAAUUGUAGUGGGCUUCUGAAAUUGGGCGAGAAGUUUGAAAGUCCUCGCUGCAAUAUACAUUCUAGCGAUAAAUUUUGUAGUCCUUGCUGAAAGUUUCGUAGCUAUUGCACAAUUUUGUUAUAGUGUCUCUUAACGGCACUUAGCAUUGCCAAAGUUUUGAAAAUAUCACUUAUCUCUCCAGAUAAUUGUAAAAUGACAAUAUUAUCCUUCGUUUCAUACAUAACAUGCAUAUCAAAUAAAUAGAACGCAAAAAACUAAAGAAAAAGAAAUAAAAGUCACUUUUCUCUUUCCCCUUUCUCUAACAUUCUAUUUUGUCCAUUUUUUGGAUGACUGUGCAAUUUCUGUUUAUAAAUUAUCAUAAACUGAAUUUUACUUAUCUUUCUUUUUUCAAGUGACCAUGGUAGAGUGCCAUAUGAUUUCCUUCGUUAUUUUGAUUUGAUUUUUGUAGCAAUUUAGUACAACUUAAGGUUUAGGUCAUGGGUUGAAAUGAGGUUGGAAAAAAAAUAUGGUUCAUAAAAAUUCGUUUUGAUCAUAUAAAAGCUGAACUAGUGCUAACAAGUUUCAUUUUUGUUUUUCAAAUUUAUAUAUUUUAGCAGCAACAGCUUUGUGAUGUGGUGGUAGUACUAAAAAUUAUUACUUAGAUAGGGAUUUUUAAUAGACUAAAUAAAAUGGUUUAAGAGUAUUUUUGUUUAGCAAAAGGAGCAAAAUGAUAGUUUAGGACUUUUAAAGAUUUUGUCAUACAAAUAGCAAAAAUAAGGGAGAUAGGUGAUUUUUUAAAACCUUAGCUAUAUUAAGUGACAUCAUGAGAAAACCUCAAGGAUGGUUUCUUAUAUUAUCCUUGUAUUAAAUCAUAAAGGUUGGGGACCAAAUAGGCUUUUUCUUUGGUAGGUUUUGGUCACGAACUAGUAAGAUUUAGGGAAAGAAGUUAUAAGAUUGUGUUGGAUAUUAGGCCAAGAAUUGAGAAUAUUUGGAGAUAAGGGUAGUUUCAAUUGUUUUGUUUUCUUUUAUUUCUUUUCACUACUCUCUUUUCACUCUCUUAUAUUGGUUUGGAGUUUACAAGAUCUAUUUAUAGUUGUAAAUGAUCAUUCUAGAUACAUAGGGAAGAGUUCCAGCCACACUUACCAACAACCUUCUUAAUUUCCAACCUUCUAGAUACAUAGAGAAUAUUCUAAUUAUCUAGAGAGCAUUCCAAUAUUCUAGACAUAUAAAGAAUAUUCCAACUAUCUCAUUUACUAAAUAAUUAAUCAAGCUAAUUGAUUCAGCACAUUAUUCAACAUAUUCCCCCUCUUAAUAUGUUGUUCUUGAACUCCAAGCAUCUUUCGAAAAUAGUUGAACUUGUCUUUUGGAAGUGCCUUGGUAAAGAUGUCUACAACUUGGUCUUCACUCUUGCAAAAUUUUAGCUCAACUUCACCAUCUUCAAUUGCAUCUUGAAUAAAAUGAUACUUGAUAGCAAUAUGGUGAGUUCUGCUGUGAUAAACUGGAUUUUUGGCAAUGUCAAUUCCUGAUUUGUUGUCACAGAACAUCACUGUAGCUUCCUUUUCCUUUUGCUUCGUUUUGCUUCUCACAAAUGGUUUGUCAUGUUGCCAAACUUACGGACACAUAUUCAGCUUCAGUGAAUGGUGACGUACGCGGGGUAUACAUAUCAAUUUAGCUCAUCCACAAUCAAGUUUUACAUUUAUAAACUCCUAAAUACCCCACACGCGAUUUAUCACAAGUAUACGAAUCGUGAGUGAGUAUAGGGUAUUAAGGGUUGAUCCCACAGGGAAGAUUGCAAUUACCAGUGUUUUUCGAACUCCUUUAUUAUCUAGACAACCAUAAACAUAAAAGUAAUGAAAAUUAGCACUAGAAAGCUCCUAGAGAUAUGGAAUUCCUUACUACUCUUGCAAAUGAAGUUACCGGUUAAGUGAAUGUUAUUAUCUUGGCUAGUUAUGCCAUAAUUUCCUUAUGCAUGUGAAACCUACUCUCGUAGUGAAUCAACUAUACUCGUAAUUAAGCCAUACCUACUCUCGUGGUUAUGAAAUUAACUACAAUCUCAUUUUUUCUAUGAAAUUACAUGAAACAAGUCACUUAAACCACAUAGGUGCACCUCUACUCUCGUGAGUGUACUCUCCUAGGUUUAUUACUUACUUAAACUAGUGUUAAAUUCCAAUUUUCAUUGCAAACUUAACACCUUAAGAUAUCAUAAUUAAUGGCCAGUUAAUCAUGAUUAGAUAAGCAAAAGUGAUAAAUAACUUGCUCAAAAUAAUAUCACUAAGUAGCCAAGUAAACAUCACAAACAAAAUAUAGUAAGUUCAACUAUAACUCUAGGCAUAAACUUUAACUAAGCACUUUAACUAAGCAUGAAGAAAAUAAAAGAAAGAUCCAUACUUGUAUUAUAACUAAACAUAAGAUGCAAUACAAGAAAUAAAGUGAUAAGAGAAAUGUCACCCAUGUCACUUGAACUCCAUACUCUCCAUCUUCAUCCUCAACUUCAUCUAAGUUUAGCUACUAAUACAAGAAGGAAACACUACCCUAACUAAUGAACUAAGAAAAACUAGUGAAAGCUACAUUUCUGGUGAGUUUCUCUAGCCUUCCAAAGUUUUUGAAUCUUGGAAGUCCAUGGCUAUAUAUAGAUGAAUGUAGUCAAGAAAUGAGGCUUGAAACAUCCCUUUUACAGCUGCUAAUUGGUUGUUACAUGCUCAUCAAUAGCUGUGAAUUAUUAAAGAAGGAAACAAGUUGCACAAGUGGAGAGCAACUAUUUCUGACCAGAAUCUGAACAAUUCAACUGCAAUUUUCUCUAUGAUUGAGGCGGAACUAGCUUUGUGUAAAUAAGAAAGCUGUAGAUCUCUAAAUUCUCUUUCCAAUGCCUCAAGAAUCAUCCCAUUUGGAGCUCUGUGGACUGAGAUAUGAUCAAAAUACCACUGACUGAUCAGAGCUCUAUUGUCACCUUCCGACAGCAGACUUUGACUUUUGUAUUUUGACAUUUUGACCAGGAAAAUGGCUGAAUUGGACUUUGAUGUCUCAUACCAAAUUUAGAUACGUCUCUUAGCUUCAAAAUUUUUAAGAAUCAUCUCAAUCCAAUGUAUGUAGUUCAAGAUAUAGCCAAAAUACCACAGAUUGCUAAAGCUGACUUUUCUUGCAUUCUUUUGUCCUUAAAUUGCAUUUUCUCUUUUACACAUCAUAUUUUAUUUUUAUCACUUUAAACCUUCAUCAAUCAUCCAAUUAUCUUCUCAAUACACUCCAUUUGAUGAUUGAAUCAUUAAACCUACAAAAUAUGAAGUUUUUAUUGUAAAAAUCCAUAAAAUGCAAUUUUUACACUUUAACCAUAAAAUGUAUAUUUUCACUAGAAUCCUAGUUUAUUAGCUAUAAAACUAAAUAAAACACACCAAAACUAACCAAUAAAACACACUAAAAAUACGUAAAAUAUCUAUUUGUCAGAAUGAUUGUGCCACACUUUGUUGCUUCUUUGAUCCCCAAGAAAAUACUCCAGAACCAAGUGAAAAACAAAAGCCUAAGGUGCUCUUCAUAUUAUCAAGGCAUCCACCCCAAUCACUAUCACAAUAAACAUGCAAAUUUAAAGUAGCACCUUUGCUGAAUUUGAUGUUGUAGUUAAAUGUCGUUUGAUGUAUCUUUACACUCUCUUGGCUGCUCCAAUAUGUAAUUGACUGGGAUUGUGUAUAAACCUUGACAUCUUUUUUGUCAAGCUUUUCACUUACAACAAGUGGUGUGGCCAUCAGUUUACAAUCAGUCAUGCCAAAUUUCACAAGAAUAUUUUCAGCAUAUUUCUUUUGACAAAUAAAGGUUCCAUUAUCAUAUUGAUAAAUCUCCAUACCAAGAAAAUGAUGUAGCAGUUCCAUAUCAUUCAUUUUAUAUAUUUUCAUCAUGUCUUUCUUAAAAUCAGCAAUCAUCUUCUCAUUGUUAUUGGUGUAAAGCAAAUCAUCAACAUAAAAAGAAACAUUGAGAAUUUUGAGCUAUCUUGAGUUUUCACAUAUAAGGUUUGCUCACUUUUACUCUUCUUGAAUUCUUGCUCCAUGAAGUAAGAAUCAAUUUGGCUAUACAAAACCCUUAGAGUUUGUUUCAAUCCAUACAACACUUUCUUCAACUUAUACACUUUGUCUUCUUGUCCUUUUUCGACAAAACCUUGAGGUUGUUCAACAUACACCUGUUCCUUCAAUUCUCCAUUCAAAAAGGCAGAUUUAACAUCAAGUUGGUAGAGAUUCCAGCCUUUAUGGACUGCCAUGGCAAUAAGAGUUCUAAUUGUAUCAAAUCUUGCAACCGGUGUGAAUGUUUUGUUAUAGUCAAUUUCGAGCUGUUGUGGAUAACCCUUAGCAACAAGUUUUGCCUUCUUCUUUUGGAUUGAACCAUUCAGAUUCAACUCGACUUUGUAAAUCCAUUUGACACCAAUGAUCUCCUUGUCUUGUGACUUUUCAACUAGCUUCCAAGUCUCAUUUUUCUCAAUUGCAUAAAUUCCAUCUUCCAUUGCGUUUUUCCAAUCCUUUUCUGCAUAUGCUUCUUCAAAAUUUUCUGGUUCAGAACGCAAAUAUUAUAUCUUGCAUGAAUAUCACUCAAACUCCGCAUUUUCUUUGGAGUUGAAUUGGGAGAAUUCGAACUUGAACUUGGAGAUGAUGGUGGACUGCUUGUUGGUGUUGAAUCAUCAUCAUUUUCUUCUUCAUUUGUUGAAUUUUCUUCUUAUUCAUAAUGACAAACAACCUCCUCCAUAAUCUUUUUCUCAUUCCAAUUCCAAGCAGCAUUUUCAUCAAAUACAAUAUCUCAACUAAUAAUGAUUUUGUUAGUCUUCAAAUUAAACAAUCUAUAACCUUUAGACUUGGAGUUAUAACCAACAAAAAUACAUUUUUCACUUACUUCAUCAAAUUUGUCCCUUUUUCUUUUGGAAUUUGAGCAUAGCAAAUGCUCCAAAAAACCUUCAAGUGUUUCACCAAUGGUAUCCUUCCAUUCCAUGCUUCAAUUGGAGUUUAAUUCCAUACGCCUUUUGUAGGAUUUCGAUUGAGCAAACAUACAGCUGUAUAAACAGUUUCAGCCCAAAAUUUCUUUGGCAAGUCUUUCUUUCCGAGACUCCAUUUUGUUGUGGUGUGUAGCCAACGGUCAGUUUCCUUUUCAAACCUUCAUCUUUACAAAAUUCUUAGAAUGCAUUUGAGGUGUACUCUUUACUACGAUCACUCAACUUCUUGAUGUAACAACCACUUUAUUUUUCAACAAGACUUUUGAACUUUUUAAAAAUUGAAAACACCGUAGAUUUUUCUUUCAUGAAAUAGAUCCAAAUCAUUCUUGAAAAAUCAUCAAUGAAAAGGAUGAAAUACUUGUUACCUCCAUGAGAAGUUGUCUUCAUGGGCCCAUAAACAUCCGUAUGAAUCAGCUCCAAAAUUUUUUUGGCUCGCCAUGCAACUCCUUUAUGAAAUGGUUGCCAGUGUUGUUUGCCAACUACACAACCUUCACAAACUUCAUGUUUCUCCUCAAUUCUUGGUGAGCCAUAUGCCAUCUCUCUUCGUUGAAGCACCUUGAGGUUAUGAAAAUUCAAAUGGCCAAAUCUCUUAAGCCGCAACCAUGAAUUUUCAUUGACAUGUACUUUCAAGACUUGAUUUUCACUAUAAUUGAAUUUGAUUGGAAAACUUCGGUUGGCUUACAUUUGGAUUUCAUCACAAGCUAUCUACCAUCCUUUUUCAUAGAUGCAGCACUCAUAAUCAUCAAAGUUAAGUGCAUAUUUAUGUUCAAGAAGAUUCAAAUGGCCAAACCUCUUAUGCUCAACCAUGAAUUUUCAUUGACGUACUUUCAAGACUCGACUUUCACUAUAAUUGAAUUUGAUUGGAAAACUUCGGUUCGCUUACAUUUGAAUUUUCAUCACAAGCUGUCUACCAUUCUUUUUGUUAUGGAUGCAACACUCAUAAUCAUCAAAGUUAAGUGCAAAUUUAUGCUCAAGAAGAUUCAAAUGGCCAAACCUCUUAUGCCCACUACUACAAAAGUGUCCUUUUAUGACAUUCAAAAGCGUCAUUAUAGAUCUAUGUCAUGACGUUUAGGCUCUAAUGACGCUCUAUUAGAAGCGUCGUCCAUUCUAGCGUCACGAUAGGUUUAUGACAGUUUUAAGUGUCCCAAUUUAUCAUUAUUAUGACACUAUUAAAUGUCAUUAUCUAUGCAUAUUAUGACACUUUCAAAUGACAAGAAAUGUUGGGGUACAAUAACAUAUCAUGACACUUUUUUAGUAUAAGUAGAUAGAAAUAUUAUGACACUUUUGAAGAGUAACUAGAUCAGGCUUUUAUGACAUUUUCUACUUGUCAGUGUAGCAUCCAAAUUAAAGUGUUCCAACUUCUUGCUGCAUAUCAUAUGACGGCAGAAACCACAUUUCAUCCUGCCACACAAGCAUCUCCAAUCCUAAAUUUUGAAGGAUUGUAACGUAGCUAGUACAAUAAUAUAAAAGAAGCAAUACAAUCAUCCAAACUUGUGCAAAAGUACAUCAUCCAAACAAUCCACACCAAAAGUGUCUACAAAUUAUAUACUAAUUUAGAAUAAGGGAAGCCCUAAAGAUGGAUCAGAAAAUUUAUUAUUUGAGCCACCAGCAACAGCACCACUAGUGCCACUGCCAUCACCACCAAUGGAGGGCUGAGACACCAUAGGUGGCUGCACCUGAAGUGAGUGAUCAUCUUCAUCCAAAGACAGUCUUUCAUAUGCUACGUUAGUGAAAGAAGCAGCAAUAACAAUCACAGGUCUAGAAGCAAUCAAAGCUCCCACAACAUUUCCUCCAACAACUUGACUGUAUCUACCAGCCAAAUAUAUGGUCAAAUUGGUGGCACCCGGUGGAGCUAGUGGUGGAAGGAAGGAGCCCGACAAUGAUAAAAUUUCGAACCAACCAUGUAACGUCAUGACUGAACCGGCAACAGCCAGUUGCCUCAAGCUCACAUUGUUGACCGUGCCACUACUACUCAAUAUGCAAAUACCUCUUUGCCUUUUUCUAACAUAUGUUGCAACUAAUUCAAACACAUCACAGCCGCUGCUGACCUCUAAUUUAUGUGCUCGGAGCGUGUUGGUGCUCUCUUGAGUGAUUAUCACCGGGGGUUUAGGCUUGUUUUUGGAGCUAGGUGGCCGGCCUCUUGGCCGAAGAGCUACAACAUCGCCUGAGCUUGUGUUUGAUGUGACCAGCUCUAUAUAGACAAAAACAGCUAAAUAUCUCAAACAGAAAAUGCAUGUUCAAACUAAAGAUCCGAAGAGAAAACAUAAAGACACAUUCAACCAUGUUGCAGUAUUUCAGUUCUCUAUUCAACUCAAGAUUAGUUUAUAAAAUAAAUUUCAAAAAAAGAAGGCAGAGCCUUGGCAAAAAACUAAAGGGCAUGCUGCUUGGAAGAAUUGAGUAAACUAGAGAGCAAAUCCAUUUGGCAAGCAAUGAAAAACUCGUUUAGUCAAUUUAUCAAACAUGUGGUGGGUCACAGAUGCUACCAAACUCAUGCUAAAGAAGGCAAUAACAUUUACUUGGAAUCUUUCGAUGGCAUCCAAAAAACAAUUAUCUUUCGACGGCAUCCAUUUAGACCUAAAGUUAAAAUUAUCUCUUAAAACAAGAAAUCAAAAAGAAAACAACCUUGAUGUUAACAAAAAAUUGAAUCAUUGAUAUUCUAUAAACUAAACAAACAUCUUAAUCAUCAUACCUCCAUCGGUGGGAUGAAUCCUAGUUGCUUCCUCCUUGAAAAAUUAGCUGAUUGGCAAGAAAAUUGGCUAAAUCUGCCCUAAAUUGAGAGAAACAAGAGAGGGAGGGAAAGGUCACAGUACAAAAAGAGAGAGAAUGCAGCGGGUGAGGAGAGAUGUGAUGAGAUGUGGUAAGUAAGAAAAGGGAGGAAAUAUUAGAAUUUUGGGUGAAAAUAAUCACGCGCUAAAACAUAGAGCCAAUUUUCAAAUUUAAGGGUGAUACGGUGUAGUUUUUUCUAUUUUUGGCACCUUUUUAAUGACACUCCUUACUAACUGUCAUGUUAACACCCUAUUAUGACAUUUAGGAAAAAAUGUCAUAAUACAAGUGUCACCAAAAGCUAUUUUUCUAGUAGUGGCCCAACCAUGAAUUUUCAUUGACAUGUACUUUCAAGACUUGAUUUUCACUAUAAUUGAAUUUGAUUGGAAAACUUCGGUUGGCUUGUGUUUAGAUUUUCAUCACAAGUUGUCUACCAUCCUUUUUGUCAUAGAUGAAGCACUUAUAAUUAUCAAAGUUAAGUGCAUAUUUAUGCUCAAGAAGCGGUCCAAAACUCAAUAAAUUUUGGUCUAAAUUAGGAACAAAUAAAACAUCACGAAUGAACUUCAUACCUUGCUUGGUUUGGGUACCAAUUGUUCCCAAUCCUUGUGCUUGAAUUAUGACUCCAUUUCCCAUUUUCAUUUCAGUCUUUAUAGAUUCAUUCAAGUUAAAAAAAAAAUAGAUUUAUCUCUUGUCAUAUGAUUGCUACAAUUGCUGUCAAGGUACCAUACAUUAUCCAUGACUUUACUGGCUAUGUGAGAAGCAUAGGAUAAGUUUCCUUCUCCUUGCUUGUCUUUUCAGUCUUUAUAGAUUCACCCAAGUCAAUAAAAAUGCAUUUAUCUCUUAUCAUAUGAUUGCUACAACCGCUGUCAAGGUACCAUAUAUUAUUCUUGAUUUCAGUGGCCAUGUGACAAGCAUAGAAUAAGUUUCCUUCUCCUUGCUUGUCUUUUCAGUCUUUAUAGAUUCACCCAAGUCAAUAACAAUGGAUUUAUCUCUUGUCAUAUGAUUGCUACAACUGCUGACAAGGUACCAUAUAUUAUUCUUGAUUUCAAUGGCCAUGUGACAAGCAAAGAAUAAGUUUCCUUCUCCUUGCUUGUCUUUUGAAAAUUCUGCUUGGUGAUUGGUCUUGAAUUUGCAAUCCUUCUCAAUAUGGCCAAAUCUCUUGCAAUAGUAGCAAUUUGGCUUGUCUUUGUGCCAACAAUCUUUCUCAAGGUGAUUGGUCUUGCCACAAUAGUUGCAAGGUUGUGAAUUUUCAGCAUUAAGACCUCUUUGAAGGUUGUUUCUUCGUCUUUCUCUUGAAUUUUUGCCUUUGCCUCCUCCACGGCCAUAUCUACUGCCUCUUUGUGAGUCUCUACCUCUUUGGUAGCUACAAGAUGGCUCUUGUUCAUUGGUUUUGGGGCUGAAAUUCAACUUCGAUUGAAAAGCACUUUCAACAAAUUUUUUUAGCAUAUCUAGCCAUCCUUCUCUCAUGAGCUUUCAAGGAUCCCAUCAACUCUUGAACACUCAUUGAGGAAAUAUCUUUUGUCUCCUCAAUUAUGGACACCAUUGGAUCAAAUUUUGGAGGCAAACUAACAAGAAUCAUUUCAACAAUUCUACUAUCACUAAUUUCUUCAUCAAAGGUUUUCAUUGCAUUUACAAUUGUGGUGAUUUUUGUGUAGUAAUUUUCAAUACUUUCAUCAUCACUUAUCUUCAAAUUUUCAAGAUCUUGAAGAAUAACAUUUUUUUCACCUUAACAUUCCCUUAGAACUCCUUUUGUAAUAUCUCCCAUGCUUCCUUGGCAUGACCGGCUCCCAUAAUUCUUGAACAAAUAUUUGGACUCACACCUUAUUGGAUGUGUGAAAAGGCCUUUUCUUCCUUCUUCUUAUGCUCCUUAAGUGCCUUUAAUUCUUGAUUGGUGAGACCUUCUUCACUUUCUGGUUCUCUAUAGUCAUUCUCUACAUAUUUUCACAAAUCUUGUGAUCUUGAAAUUGUUCUCAUUUUCACGAACCAAUGAUCACAGUGCUCAUUGGUGAAUAUGGGAAUUGGAAGACCAUCACUAGUAUGAUUGGCCAUCUUGUAUGGUUGAAAAUCUCUCAAAUUUUUUUGGGUUUAGGGUAUGAACUAAAGCUGUAAAACCUAGCUCCAAUACCAAUUUGUUGGAUAUUAGACCAAGAAUUGAGAAUAUUUGGAGACAAGAAUAGCUUCAAGUGUUUUGUUUUCUUUUAUUUCUUUUCACUCUCUUAUAUUGGUUUGGAGGUUACAAUAUCUAUUUAUAGUUGUAAAUGAUCAUUCUAGAUACAUAUGGAAGAGUUUCAGCCACACUUACCAAUAACCUUCUUAAUUUCCAACCUUCUAGAUACAUGGGGAACAUGCCAAGUAUCUAGAGAGCAUUCCAAUAUUCUAGAUACAUAGAGAAUAUUCCAACUAUCUCAUUUAUUAAGUAAUUAAUAGGCUAAUUGAUUCAGCACAUUAUUCAAUAGAUUGAUUAAAAUUUGUGAAAAUUGGGUGCAAAAAAUUACUAUAUUGUUUGUGAUGUAACCACAAGGUUUUUCUUAAAUGAUAAUUGUAAGUGUAGGUAAUGCCACUUUUGGUCCUCCGAAGAAGAUUAGCGUCUCAAUCCCGUCCUUGAAAGAAAAAUGUUGCAAUCAAGAUCUUCAAAUUGAGAAUUCUAUAACAAUUCCAGCCUCCCAUCUACUUUCGUCAAGUCAAUGAUAGUUGACCAUUUUUAAGCCAUGAGACAGACUAUGGUGCAUCGUAAGCCGUUGUUGAGGGACGUAUACUUAAUUUGGCAUCGAGAAAGUGAAAUCAAAGAAAGAAGGCGGAAAAAAAAAAGAAAAAGAUGAACAUUUUUUGGAAAACUCACCAUUUUAGUCCUUCAACUUUUUGCUUUUGUCAAUUUAGUCUCUUAACUUAGUUUUAGCCUAAUUUAGUCCUUUAACUUAAAUUUUGUAUCCAAUUAAAUUCUAUUACGGUAGCACCACCAAUUAAAACAUUUCUGGUCCAAAUUUCUACUACGGUGCUAAUAGAAGAAGUACAAGUGAGGCUCAAUAUUAAAAUGAAGAAAAAAGUUUUUCCAUAACUUUGGGGGAAACAGUAAAUUUACUAUUGAAUUACGGAGAAAAGUAGAAGUUCUUGCAAAAAAAAAAACCCAGCAACAAUUGGGUCGUCUUCAUCAUAAACUCACAAAAAACUCUGAUAGAUGAAUUCAGAAACAGCACCCAUUUAUACUCUUCAUCAACUCCCAUUAAUCAUCCAUCACUCAAGAACAAAAUUAAUCAUCCAUCAUCCAUCAAAUCCCAUUAAUUGGUGGUGCCACCAAAAAAGGAUUUAAUUGGAUUCAAAAUUUAAGUUAAAAGGACAAAAUUAGGCUAAAACAAAGUUAAGGGACUAAAUUGACAUAAGUAAAUAGUUGAAGGACUAAAAUAGCCAUUUUUCCAAAAAUUUUUCAUUUUAGUUUCUAAAUCCUUUAAGAAAAUUUUUUUUCUAAGUUCCUAAAUCCUUUACCAGAUUAAUAACAGCCAUUCCAGUGGAAAAAUUUUCCCCAUUUAAAGAGCAUAAAUUAGGGGUCCAACAUUAAUAAGCUGAUGGGAAUUGACAUAAGGAUUGAGUUGGAACAAAAUUCUUAUUUUGGACGAACUUGAUUGACUCUUUUUUUUUUUUUUUCAAAUUCAGACAUUGUGUUGAAAUUCUAAUCUACUUUGGAGAAUCAAAAUGAAUUAUCCCUUAAAUGUUCAAGAAUAAUUCCAAGUAAAAUUUUGUGAGUGAAAUGGGAUGUUCUGAUAAAGCAAUAAUUUUUUGGUAUAAAGGUAAAUGAAAAUGGUGUAGUAAAAGAAAAAUGUACUAAGACGUUUUAAGAAGGGAUAAAAAAUUUCCAUGUUUUAAGGAAAGGGUAAAAAAUUUCUAUCAAAAUUGUAAGACUUACCAGAAGGAUGCAGGAUUUUUUUUUUUUUUUUUUGGGAGGUCUUGAACCCUUCUUAAGGAAGGGGUAAAAAAUUUCUAUGUUUAAACAGUAAAAAUUUUCUUUCAAAAUUGUAAGUCUCACAAGAAGUAUGUAGGAUUUUUUUUUUAUAUUUUUGGUAAGUGGUGGGUCAUGAACCAUCUUUUUCAUCUUACCACUCAAUCUAAUCCCUCCAACCAAGGAUUUUUUAUUAUAGAAAGUAGUAAAUUACAUUUUUAUGAGAAGGGAAAUUUUCUAUAAAAAUGGUAAAUUUGAAUAGUACAUUGGUCAGGAUUAACUUUAACCGCAUAAAGGUAUUUCAUAUUUGUGAUCCGCUCAAAGAGGUUUAUGUAUUAACCCAUUUUUUGUUUAUGUUUUUAUUAUACGCUACUAUUUUGCUAUAUAUUUCUGUCGCUUUUUUUUUUUUUUUUGGAUUAAGUUUGCAUUAGGAGACGAGUGACCAAGUCCUUCUAGAGCAUGAGUUCGUUUCCAUAACAAACUCUAAUUGCUCGUUUCCAUUAGAAACUCUAAUUGGCUAAACAUUGUUUCUGUUUACCACCCAUAAAAACAUUCCUAAAUUCUUAUCUCCACAUUGAAAUUCUUAUACAAAAAAAUCAAGAAGGGUAGUCUGGAAGUUCGUGGGCAAGGAAGACAUGAAAGGAUUGUUUGGAUUUUUCGGACGAAAAGGCACAGAGGUACGACUUGUAAGUUUCAGUGAUGUGUUUGAUGUUGAUGCUUGAACAAUUUAACUUGAAAAUCACACAUAAGUUUUUCAAGUCUUCUUCAUAUUUAUGGUUUUUUUGUCUGUUUAAUUUCAGUUUAUUUCUUGUGAUGUAACUUGGAUUUAUUUGUGAUGAUGUAGUUUUAAUUGGCGAGACAAAUAUGCUCAGUCUUUAAUGUUUUUUUACCUUGUUCGUCUUAUGUGCUUUAUCUUAUGUAUACUCUAUUGCGAUACUUGUGAAACAAAAGGAGGAGAAGAGAGGAGAUGGCUAAGGAGACGAAUAAUAAUUAGCAGUACAAAAAGGGUUGUGAAGUUUGAGAGAAGUUUAAACUCGGGCUUAGAUUUCUUAAAAAUACAGUGAUGAAUUAAAGUUUCUGUGUACAGGAGGAAAUUCAGAAUCUCCUUGAUGAACUGGAUCAAAAAAACCAACAGCUGAAUUUAGAAUUGCUUGGGAUUAGGAGAAAGGCUGAUGAUUUGGAUCAUAAGGAAGUCGAAAUCACCAACUUGGGGGAAAGGUUGAUGAAAAAGGAAGAAAUAUUAGAUGAUCUGCUGGGUACCGUUGAGGAGAAAGACCAGGUUGUGGAGGCCAAGUUGGAACUUGCCAAGGAGAAAGAAGAAUAUAUCAAGAAUGAGGAGAAAAUGUUGGAUUUGGAAAAGCAACAAAUUAGUUCUGACCGAAAAAGUUUGCUAGAUCUUAAAGAUGAACUUAAAAGGACAAUGGAUGAAAUUAGACAAAAACAACAGCAGAUUGAUGAUGAAAAUAAAAACCUUCAAGUUCAGAAAGAAUUGCUUUUGACGGAGGAGGAUGAUCUGAAACAAUUGAGGAAGCAAUUGGAGCAAGAAAGGGAGGCGUUGGAUGAGAAGAAAGUGGUUGCACCUGCUUCUGAUCGGAAGUCUUCUGAUAAAUCUGGUGGCUGCUGCCGCCGCAAUUCUUGGCUCAGAAAUUGCACUCCAAGUAUUUUUAAAUUAUCCCGCAAAGAAUCACAGGGUUUGCCAGAUUCAAGGCGCUCUGAUGAAAAAGCUACCAGGAAGAGGGCACGGGACGAUGAUCAAACUCCUAUUGAAGCAGAGACAGAAAAGGGCAGGAAAAGGAGGCAAACUGACACUCCUUUAGUAGUCCCAGGGCUGCAGUUUACACCUAAUGAACCAUUUGACACUGAGGUAAAUCCUUCUAGUUUCUUGAUAAAUUUUGAUCUGCAUAGAAAAAUGGCCUUUCUUCAACAUGUACAUAUUUCUUUGUUUACAGCCGCGGAUUCAAUUGUCUGAGUAUGUCUUGGAUGGUAAUGAUGGUGGAGAUGAAUCUGGCGACAACUUUGAGCAGUUGAUUAAAGCAUCAUCUGGAGAUGGCUUGGAUGAUAUUAAUGGUGAUGGAUAUGCCACCGACAACGGCAACAAGGAGGAGGAGGAGGAGGAGGAGGAUGAUGAUGAACAUCUUGGUAAAACGUCAGUGAGUAGAAAGAUAUGGAACUUCUUGACAACAUAAAAAUCCGUCCUUAGCGGGAAGCCCUAACUUAUCCUCCUAGUUUAGCCGUUGUACAUGAUUUUAGUUCUAAAUGUCCCACUAAACUUAAUGCAGACAGAUGAUAGUUGAAUAUUUUUUAUUUUUCAGUUUUUUUCUACCAAAUUGUUACAUAUUCCUUUUUUCUUACUCCUCUGAAUAAUCCCUUGGAUAUUUUCUUUUUAUACAUGUGUCAUGCAAUUUUUUAUAAUUUUGUUUUGCGUGUGUAUGUUAUAUCCACUCCUACUAAUGCAGGAAAAGCUUUAUAGUGACAGUAUAGAGAAUGUUAUUUCUGGAUUUGGCCAUAAUUUUGCUGGUUGUUGGUUUAAAGUAGUAUUUAAUUUACCCUAUAAUCAUGUUUAUACUGACAAUUCACUUAAAUUUGUUGUGCCAAUCUGCUAUUGGAAGCUGGCCAUUGAGUCAUCGCAUGUCUUCACUCGCUUGACGACGGCUCGUAGAAUGUUUUUGGUGGCUCAAAUACAAGUUUGAUCUUCUUCAUCCAAAAAAUUUCGAGGAAACCAUAGUGGAAUAUAGCCUUCUUGACGACUAGUUUGAAGAUUUUACAUAAUUUUAUUUUUUUUUUAUAGUAUGAAACAGAUGGAAUUUAAAAAGUGAAAAAGAGCAAGGAAGAUUUGAAACCAAGAUAGUCUUGGAGUCUCAAUCGUAACUAUUAGAUCAAAACCUUCUCGGUGAUUUUACAUAGAUAAGAGAUAAAGCAACAAAUUAAUUUCUAUCUGAGAUCAUUGACAGCCCCUUUAUGGUAUCCAAGAUUCAAAUCAAUGUCUUAGUUUUUUUCUCAAAAUAUGUCCAAUGGUAAUUAAUUUCAAAUUCAUUAACGGAUUUCAAAUCCUCUCCGCAUAUAUCUAUUUUGUUUCCCGGAAAUAUAUGUCUAUAUUGUUGACUUAGUGAUAACAGGCAUGGUCUAUUGUAUAAUUAAUUUCAGUUGAGGGAGAAGUAGGAUAAGAAAGUAGUAUAGAUGAUUCAAAUGUUAAGCCCCAUAACUUCGUCACAUCAAAUGCUUUGCACAACCAACGUGCUACUUUACUGUAUUUAGAUUUGCCAUUUAUGUAAUUAUGGUCAUUGGUAAUCAUGAUGAUUGUCUUUCCAAGACAAGAAUGAUCAUAACAAACCCUGUCUCUUAGCAUAUGAAUUGUCAAAAUUAAGGACAUUAAAGGCUUGAGAUAUUGCACACAGCUCAACCUGUAGAGAAAUUCGUUGAACUGAGAUUUUCCUGAGGCCAAGCCGUUCUCAACGGAUUCUUGCUUUUGCAUAUAUAUACACUAGGGGAAAAAACACUCAAACAAUUGCAUAGCUUCGAGCAAAUAUACAUUCAAAAGAGCCAAAUUCUCAGCCCUCGAUCAGCUGCAAGUUUGCAUUUUUUUCCAACAUCGUUUUGUCAUUUGUCGAGAGAAUGGCAACAUUGACCAGAAUGGUUCUUGUGUUGCUCGUUGCAUUCUUGCUAUGCUCAGUAGUAGCCUGCAAUGCCUCUAAUUUAUUAAUUAAAUUAUCAAAUUACAUAUUAAAUCAAUCAAACUGGUCAAACGAGUCAACCCGUGUUGACCUGAUUUGGACCUAUUUGCCUCGCGGGUCAUUCAGGUUUGACCUAAUUUUUGUCCGAACCCAUGAAGAGCCCGCUAAUUUCGUGCUAGAUUCAAGUUAUGUUUUCAAGUCGUAUGGAGAAGUGUCACCCCUAGAUUCUGGCACGAAGAUUAAUAGAAAAAACUACACAAUUGUCCACUACCUGUUUAUUACAACAAAUGAAACUUGCAAUUUCUAAUAAUCAAAUUUUUAUUAAAUUUUAUUAAAGAUAAAAUGAAGAUCGACAUUACAGGAAUAUUCCAUUCAAUCCUUCAAAAUCUAUAGAAAUUUCAAGAAAUAAUGGAAAAAAAAGAAGUAGAGAAAAAAUUUGAAGAAAUCAAAAGACAUACCUCUUUGAACCAUAGUUAUUAAACCCAACCCGGGAAGGAAGCUGACAGGUGUCGGGCCUGUGCAAUAAUAAAUACCUACUCGAGAAAAAUGAAUUUUCUGUGUAUAGUAGUGAGUAGGGUCGAAUCCACAGGGACUGGAAAAAAAUUCGAUUCUUUUCAAGUUCGGGACACGGGGGAUUUUUAUCAGAUAAAACUAAAAAUAAAUAAUUAAACAAUUUAACUAAAAAUAAUUAAACAAUUUAACCAAAGAUAAAUAAUUAAUUAAUACAAUUGUAAAUAGCAAUUAAAUAAAUGAUAAAUAAAUUCUAGCCAAGGAUACAACUACGCAGACACAGUCCAUUCAUCCGAUCAUUGAUGCAAAGAAUGUUCACUUAAUUUAAUUAAUAGGCUAGUUAUAGCCGCUGAUAAACUCUAACGACCAGCUUUUCCUUAAUUUAUUGAUAACCAAGGUACGACCGUUGAUUACCUCUAACCAGCAAAUACUCCUAGGUACGACCGUAGGAAUUAAUUUCCUAAUUGCAUUAAAAACUAGAAAAACCUAGCCCAAAUUAAUAACACGCUACGAGGGUUAUUUAAAUCAGAUUGCAUGUUCCCCUAGUAUGUGAAAAUACUAAUUGUCACUAAUAUUAACCAACUAAACAAUUACGGAUUUAAUUGAUUAAUUUGACAAGAGAUUAAAAAGUCAAAUUGCACAUCGGGCCCUUGAUAUCCAAUUAACAAAAUAAUCCCAUGGAAAUUAAAACAGAAAACAUGCAAAUAUUAACAAAUUAAGGAACACGUAAAAUUAAUUAGAUCUCACAGAUAUAUGGGACUGCGUCGUCGCGUUGAUCCUUGACUAGAGGAGAAAAUUAGCCACGCCUCAUAAGAAAAUUCCCACACAAUUCAAUUGAAUUCGAAGACAUAAAUAACUCUUGCUAGUAACUGAAAAUGAAAAUUUGAUUCUCCGUAAUCUAAUGCAAUAAAACUAGUUUCAUGGAAGAAACUAGUUGAAUGAAAGAGACCGAAGAAAUAAAAAAAACAAACUUCUGGAGAAAACUUCACACCCAAAAUCCAACAAACCAAUCAACUACCUAUUCUACCUACGGAGCUUCUUGAAGAGCAAACUAAAAACUAGUCUCCCGCUUAUGAAGCUAUCAUCUGAUAUAUAUAAGGCAAGCCUUUAGUCUUCAUAGCUUUUUCAUAGUCUUUUCUCCUUGAGCCCACUAAUCUAGUGCCUUGUUAUUUUAUUGGAGCACUAGUCUCCCACAAUAAUCAAAGCUACGUAGGAAGCAAAUAGAAAAGCUACUUUCAUCAUCAAAGUCCACCUAUGGCUAAUGAGUACAUCUCCCAAAAGAAGAACACAUUUUCUAAAUCAAUGUUACGUGGUCCCUGCAGAAUUCUCUCCUUUUGACUUCUUAUUGCUAGUGGACUUGUCAGGACUUAAUAAUAGGAAGGCAACUCUUCAUCAGCAAUUCCGUUGGUUUGCACAAUUUGGGCUGAUUGUGGAAAGCUUUUAGAAGCUUUCACGUGUGGAGAGAUCUUCUCAAGAAGGUUCCCUUUUAGCACUUUUCUGCUCCACUUUCUGAAAUUAUAUCCAAAUACCAAAUAUAAAUAUAUAUUGACAAUUAAAGCAAUAUUUGGCAAGGAUAAAGAGGAGAAUUAACAAUAAAAUUACUAACAAUUAACAUCCUAUCAAUUCCCCCCACACUUAAAUCAUGCUUGUCCUCAAGCAUGGGAACAACUAAAUUCAACAAUGGCUAACUCUCAUUUCAUUUACUGCCAAGCUAUGCUUAUCCCAAAAUCAAGUUUUAGUGGCUAAGUGUCAAGACAUAUUUCUCCCGAUUAGCUCCUGAAAUCAUAGACUCGUCCAAUUCAUGGCUAACUCGUCUAAGAAAUUAAAAUAUUAAACUAGCAAAAGUUAGCAAUUGGGUCAACUGAAAAUCAAAAUCUCAACAUUGAAGAACAAGGAUCGGCAGGCCAAUAUGAUCAUAAGUUUACACAUUAUUUUAUUCUCUCUCUCUUUUUUUUUUUUUUAACAAUUAAUUUUUUUUUUUCAAAAAUGCUCAGUCCCAAGCUAUUCAAGUCUUUUGACGUGAACUCUGACAUUUUUAGAUGAAAGAGCCCAGUUACUCAACUUUUCACAGCUUCAGGACUAACUACUCAUAGAUAUCGCCACUUUUUGACGCGAAAGUCGACACUUGUGGUGAAAACUCCCGGUUACUGGGUGACGGCACUAGCGGAGUAGAGUCAUUUAUUAAUCACAAUUAAAGUAUCAGAAUACCAGAUAAUUAAAGAUCAUGGCCCACGUCAUCUCCUAAUAUGGAGAACUAAGAUCAACAAUUGCCCAAUCCACAUAACAAUUGCUAAUAAAAUAUUUAAAUUGCCUAAACAAGUUAACCACAAUUUGCACCAAGUCAUUAAACUCAUGAUAUUCACCAAGAUAACAUGCGUUUACUUGCCAUCUAAACAAAAUUCAUAGGAUAAAUCACAACCAGCAAUAAACGAAUGAAUUGCCAUAUUUAUUCAUCAAAACACUAGUAAGAAAAGCAGUAAAUUAAAGAAACACCAAUCAAAACUAAACCCAAAUCCCCCCCACACUUAAAUCACACAUUGCCCUCAAUGUGAUAAUGAAACAGUAAAAAUAAGAAGAAGGACAACGAAACUCCCCUUAAGCUGGUGCCGGCUAUUAGCACCUGUAGUUGGAGGAGGCGGAGCGGAGGUCAAAGGGUCGGGAUCGUGGUUUCACCAUUCUUUCCAAAUUGUACUAAAUAAAUAAAAAUCAAGCAAAGUAAAAAGAAACAAGCAAAGUAACACAGAAGUAUCCAACUAAGGAUGAAUAGAAAUGUCAGGUAGUCCAAACACGCAAAACUUUCAGAAAUGUACUGUAAUAAAAAUAAUAAAAACAUACUGCAAUAAUAAAAUAAGAAAAUAAAAAAAAAUAAUAGAAAGAGAUUGAGGCAGGCGCGUGCAUACGAAGCCAGCGGUGCGAUGAAGGUGGUGGCUGUGAGAGAGAAGAGUUUGCGGCAGCUGGAUCUGGUAGUGCUCAGCGACUGCGGGUGGUGGGCGACGGGUUGGGGUAGCGCGCGCGAGGGAGCGGCGGGCUCCAGGUGGCGCGCGAGGAGCGGCGAUGGCGUCGGUGGAGCAGGAAGAAGGGAGGAGACCUGGGGCGGCGGCGGCUCUGGUUGAAGGAACCAGAGAAAAGGGAAAAACAGGGAAAGAAGAAAGAAAGAAAGAAAGGAAGGAAGAAAGAAGAAAAAAAAAGAAAAGAAGAAAAAGAAGGAUUUUUUUUUUUUUUUUUCAAAAACAAUGCUUACGUAGAUCUGAAAUCUUUUUUUUUUUUUUUUUCAGGUCGUCAAACACCGCGUGGGCGCGCCAAGAUUGGCCUUCAUCCCCUGACCUUAGGAGACACCAACACCGCAGGGGCACGCCAAGAUUUCACUUCCUGAUUUCAGUAAAGGAAAUAUGAGUACUGAUACUACCCAACGAGUAAAUGACCCAAUGCAAAAGAACCAACUAGAAAGAACAAAACAACUAGAAAUAACAAAACUAAUAUUUGGGUUGCCUCCCAAACUAGCGCCUUUCUUUAAUGUCUUUGGCUAGACAUAGCCCAUAAUUUGCUUAAACCAAGCAAAUUGGGUCCUCCAAAUGCGUCAUCUCUACUCGCUCAACUGGAGCCUCAUCAUAAUAAGGCUUGAGACGAUGACCAUUCACCACAAAUUUCUUCUCCGUCUUCAGACUCUGGAUCUCCACUGCACCAUAAUCAAAGACAUUAGUGACAACAAAGGGACCAAUCCAACGAGAACGUAAUUUACCUGGAAAUAGCUUCAAUUUGGAGUGGUAUAGUAGAACUUUUUGCCCGCAGACGAAUGUCUUUCUAGAGAUCUGUUGGUCAUGAAAGAUCCGAUUCUUCUCUUUAUAGAUCACUGCAUUCUCGUAUGCUUCAUUUCGGAUUUCUUCCAACUCUUGCAAUUGCAACUUUCUUUGAAUUCCGCCUUCCUCGAUAUCCAUAUUGCAUUGCUUGACUGCCCAAAACGCUCUAUGCUCAAACUCUACCGGGAGAUGACAUGGUUUUCCAAAUACCAAUCGGUAAGGAGACAUGCCAAUGGGUGUCUUGUAUGCCGUCCUAUAUGCCCAUAGUGCAUCCUCUAGUCUCACACUCCAAUCCUUCCUAUCGGGUCGGACCAUCUUUUCUAGAAUUGAUUUGAUCUCUCGGUUCGAUACUUCCGCCUGACCAUUUGUCUGAGGAUGGUAGGAUGUAGAGACUUUGUGCAAGACACCGUAUCUCCUAAACAUUGCAGCGAUCGUUUUGUUGCAGAAAUGAGUACCCCGAUCACUUACAAUUGCUCGUGGCAUCCCAAAGCGGACAAAAAUAUUAGACUUAACGAAUUCUGCAACCACUUUGGAAUCAUUAGUGCGGGUGGCCUUUGCUUCUACCCACUUCGAAACAUAAUCUACAGCAAGCAAUAUAUACAAAAAACCACAGGACGAAGGAAAAGGACCCAUAAAAUCAAUGCCCCAAACGUCAAAAAUUUCAACAAAAAUCAUUGGGGUUUGAGUCAUUUGACCCCUACGAGAGAUAUUACCCACUCUUUGACACUUAUCACAUGACUUACAAAAUGAGUAGGCAUCUUUGAAUAGAGUUGGCCAAUAGAAUCCACUCUCUAGCACCUUACGAGCCGUUCUCUUUGGUCCAAAGUGACCUCCACAUGCAAAAGAAUGACAAUAGGCUAGAAUGGAUUGAAAUUCAGCUUCACUUACACAUCUACGGAUGAUUUGAUCGGCACCCCGCUUCCAGAGGUAAGGAUCAUCCCACAUGUAGAAUUUUGCAUCGCUCCUCAACUUAUCUCUCUUUGCCUUAGGCCAUCCUGUAGGAAAUUUGUCAGUGACUAGAAAAUUAACAAUAUCUGCAUACCAAGGCAAGGAUGAAUUAAUAGAAAAUAAAUGCUCCUCAGGAAAUGCUUCUCUCAAUGGGAGGUCCUCUUCGACGACUUGUACUCGACUCAAGUGAUCUGCUACCAGGUUCUCUGCCCCUUUCUUAUCUCGGAUCUCCAGGUUGAACUCUUGUAACAACAAUAUCCACCGUAUCAAUCGCGGUUUUGCCUCUUUCUUGGUCAACAGAUACCGCAAAGCUGCAUGAUCAGAAAAAAUAAUAACUUUAGCACCAAGUAAAUAAGACCGAAAUUUUUCUAAGGCAAAAACAACUGCUAAAAGCUCCUUUUCGGUGGUUGAAUAGUUCAAUUGAGCUCCGUUCAAGGCUCGAGAUGCGUAGUAGAUAGCAUGAGCUGCCUUUCCUACUCUUUGAACCAAUACCGCACCCACUGCAUAGUCGCUGGCAUCACACAUGAUUUCGAAUGGGAGGUUCCAGUCAGGGGGUUGGAUAAUAGGUGAGGUGGUCAAUAACUUCUUUAACUUAUUGAAUGCCCCCUUACAUGUUUCAUCAAAUUCGAAGGAUACAUUUUUUUGCAAAAGUUGGAACAAGGGUGCUCCAAUUUUCGAGAAGUCCUUGAUGAACCUUCUAUAGAAACUUGCGUGACCCAAGAAAGAACGAACUUCCCGCACAUUCGCGGGGUAAGGUAAAGUAGAUAUAACAUCUAUUUUUGCCUUAUCAACCUCAAUACCUGUAGAUGAUACAACAUGACCCAAAACUAUCCCGUGUUCAACCAUAAAAUGACAUUUUUCCCAAUUAAGCACGAGAUUAGUUUCUAUACACCUUACUAAGAUCAAUUUCAGGUUAUCUAGACAGUUUUCAAAACUUUCACCAUAUACACUGAAAUCGUCCAUGAAAACCUCAAUAAUCUUCUCAACAUAUUCUGAAAAGAUACUUACCAUGCAUCUUUGGAAGGUAGCAGGUGCAUUACACAAUCCAAAUGGCAUCCUUCGGUAUGCAAAUGUUCCAAAUGGGCAGGUGAAAGUAGUCUUCUCUUGGUCUUCGGGUGCGAUGGCAAUUUGAAAAUAACCUGAAAAUCCAUCCAAGAAACAAUAGUAAGCUCGACAUGCUAAUCGCUCCACCAUUUGGUCAAUGAAAGGGAGGGGGAAAUGGUCCUUUUUCGUGACGGUAUUUAGCUUUCGGUAAUCGAUACACUGUCGCCAUCCGGUGGGCUUUCGAAUUGGUACGAGCUCACCCUCUUGGUUUGAUUCCACUGUCACCCCUGCCUUUUUCGGGACCACCUGUACUGGACUUACCCAUGGGCUGUCUGAUAUUGCAAAUAUAAUUCCAACGUCCAGCAGUUUUAAAAUCUCUUUCUUUACGACCUCCAUCAUGAGAGGAUUUAAUCUCCGUUGAGCUUGCCGUAUAGGUUUAGCAUUCUCCUCGAGUCGAAUUCGGUGCAUACACACCGCGGGGCUAAUUCCCUUGAUAUCGGCGAUAGUCCAUCCUAUCGCCUGCUUAUGUUCCCUAAGAACUCGAAGUAGUUUCUCUUCUUGAACCUUUGAUAAACCCGCGGAGAUGAUCACUGGAAGUGUCUCCCCUUCACCCAAGUAUGCGUACUUCAGGUGUUUCGGCAGCGGUUUCAGUUCCAAGACAGGUGCCUGCACCACAGAUGGAAGUAACCUUUUGUGAGGUUCAGGUAUAAAAAUGGGUGCGAGGUCAUACCUUGUUUUCAUGGUUGGUAACGUUUGCAACGAUCCAAUCACGCAUUUAAGCUCUUCACUCAACUCUACUCCAGAGGUCGUUUCGGACUCGAAGUGCCUGGUCAGAACGACCUCUAACUCAUCCCUGCCUUCAAUUUCAAAAACCUCCUGUAUAGCAGGGUCAAUAACAUUUACCGAGAAAACAGAGCCAACAUUUGAAUCGGAUGGAUAUUUCAUGGUCUCAAAAAUGUUAAAGUGAAUAAUCUCACCAUCAAAUUCCAUAGACAAAGUACCCUUAUUAACAUCAAUUUUGGUUCGGGCUGUGCUCAAAAAGGGUCUACCUAACAAUAGAGGUGACGGAUCACGGGAGUGUUCAUCCUCCAUGUCGAGCACAUAAAAAUCAGCUGGAAAAACCAAUUCAUUAAUUUUUACCAAAACAUCUUCAAUCAACCCGUCAGGGUAUGCAUUGGUCCUGUCAGCUAAUUGGAUUAUUAUCCCAGUUUCUUUCAAAGGGCCUAAAUUCAAAGAAGCAUAAAUAGAUUUCGGCAUGACAUUAAUCGAUGCUCCUAGAUCUAACAUGGCCUUUCCAAUCAAAAUAUUACCUAUCCUACAAGGAAUAGUAAACAUACCUGGAUCUCCGCAUUUCGGUGGAAGCUUUCUUUGUAGAAUUGCUGAAACAUUCUCCCCAACUAUAACUCGUUCAUCACCCUUCAAUCGCUUGCGGUUGGCACACAGGUCCCUCAAAAAUUUUGCGUACCUGGGUACUUGUUUAAUCGCAUCCAGUAGGGGUAUGUUGAUCUCCACCUUGCGAAAGAUCUCCAGGACCUCUUUUUCCUUGUCUUGCUUCUUUGGUUUCUCUAACCUGCUAGGAAAGGGAGGUGGAUUAGUUUUAGCUGUAGGAAUUGGGUUCGAGGGUACCUUUGUAUUUUUGUUGUCUCUGCCCUCCUCUUCCAAUUCUUUCUCAAUCCGUUCCUCGUCCUUGUCUUUAGGAAUCACCGGUUCGGGUCCUUGAACUUCCUUGCCACUCCUUAAGGUCAUUGCGCUUACAUUCUUUGGAUUUGCCUCAGGUUGAGAUGGCAACUUUCCUUGAACUUGGGACUCCAAACGAUUGAUUGUUAUAGCCAUUUGAUUCAUUUGAUUUUGCAAUGAUUGCACCUGUCCCAAUUGAUUUCUCAUGCUUUGCAAGUCUGAAUCCGUCUUUUGUUGAUUAGCAAGUAAUUGCUUCAUCAUCUCUUCCAUGGACGGACUUGAAUUUGAAGGGGGUGGUGGUGGUGGGCGAGGAUGGUACUGCUGUUGGUGUCCUUGCUGUCUAUUUGGCACAAAGUUAGACUGCCUAUUUCCUCCAUAGCUAAGGUUGGGGUGAUCCCUCCAACCAGGAUUGUAGGUGUUUGAGUAUGGAUCAUACGGCUUUCUUGGCGCGGGCGCGUGGCCAGCCAUGUUCACAUGUUCUGCAGUUUCUUCUUGAACCAGUGGACACAUUUCCGUAGGAUGACCCACGGCAGUGCACACUUUGGCUUGUGAAGCAUUCCCCACAGCUAAUUGUCUUACAAAAGAUGUUAAUUCGGAGAUCUGCUGUUGGAUAGAGGACGUUUCCACCUCAUUCACCCUGCGCGUCGGGAUGUCCUCUCUUGAACCAAACUGUUGUGAGUUCUCAGCCAUCCCUUCAAUCAACUCCCAUGCUCCUCGAGGGGUUUUGUUCACCAACGCCCCUCCACUUGCAGCAUCGAUUAUGCUUCUGUCCCUGAAAAGUAAUCCCUCAUAGAAAUAUUGGAUGAGCAGUUGCUCACUUAUCUGAUGUUGAGGGCAUUUGGUGCACAGUUUCUUAAACCUCUCCCAGUACUCAUAGAGUGACUCGCCUGGGUGUUGUUUGAUGCCACAUAUCUCUUUCCUUAGGCUUGCAGCUCGAGACGCCGGAAAGUACUUGUCCAGAAAUUUUUUCUUCAAUUGAUCCCACGUGGUGAUACUACCAGGUGGUAGGUAGUAGAGCCAGUCUUUUGCGGAGUCCUUCAAAGAGAAGGGGAAAGCCCUCAUCUUUAUUUGCUCUUCUGUAAUUCCCGGAGGCUUCAUACUGUUGCAAACGACGUCGAACUCUUGCAAGUGUUUGUAGGGCUCCUCACCUGGUAGACCAUGAAAAGAUGGCAAGAGAUGAAUUAAACCAGAUUUUAGUUCAAAGGGAGUGUCAUCAUUUAAAUUUGGAAAAGUAAUGCACAAGGGCUGCUGAUUUAAAUCAGGAGCAGCCAACUCCCUUAAUGUUCGUGUAUUUGCCAUAGUGACUUCCUCUUGGUCUGAAUCACUCGAAUUGUCACCAGACAAAUUUGUCGGCUCAACCUCUGGAUCUAGUCCCUGAGGUGCAAUACCGUAUUGCUCUUCUCUGAGCCGCCUGGUUUCUUUCCUCGUUCUACGCGCGGUCUUCUCUAAUUCAGGGUCGAAAACUAAUUCGCCUGUACGAGAAGAGCGAGGCAUAAACUAGAAAAAUACCAGAAAAUUAGAACAAAAAGAAACAAAUAAUUAACGCCAGUCCCCGGCAGCGGCGCCAAAAAUUGACAGGUGUCGGGCCUGUGCAAUAAUAAAUACCUACUCGAGAAAAAUGAAUUUUCUGUGUAUAGUAGUGAGUAGGGUCGAAUCCACAGGGACUGGAAAAAAAUUCGAUUCUUUUCAAGUUCGGGACACGGGGGAUUUUUAUCAGAUAAAACUAAAAAUAAAUAAUUAAACAAUUUAACUAAAAAUAAUUAAACAAUUUAACCAAAGAUAAAUAAUUAAUUAAUACAAUUGUAAAUAGCAAUUAAAUAAAUGAUAAAUAAAUUCUAGCCAAGGAUACAACUACGCAGACACAGUCCAUUCAUCCGAUCAUUGAUGCAAAGAAUGUUCACUUAAUUUAAUUAAUAGGCUAGUUAUAGCCGCUGAUAAACUCUAACGACCAGCUUUUCCUUAAUUUAUUGAUAACCAAGGUACGACCGUUGAUUACCUCUAACCAGGAAAUACUCCUAGGUACGACCGUAGGAAUUAAUUUCCUAAUUGCAUUAAAAACUAGAAAAACCUAGCCCAAAUUAAUAACACGCUACGAGGGUUAUUUAAAUCAGAUUGCAUGUUCCCCUAGUAUGUGAAAAUACUAAUUGUCACUAAUAUUAACCAACUAAACAAUUACGGAUUUAAUUGAUUAAUUUGACAAGAGAUUAAAAAGUCAAAUUGCACAUCGGGCCCUUGAUAUCCAAUUAACAAAAUAAUCCCAUGGAAAUUAAAACAGAAAACAUGCAAAUAUUAACAAAUUAAGGAACACGUAAAAUUAAUUAGAUCUCACAGAUAUAUGGGACUGCGUCGUCGCGUUGAUCCUUGACUAGAGGAGAAAAUUAGCCACGCCUCAUAAGAAAAUUCCCACACAAUUCAAUUGAAUUCGAAGACAUAAAUAACUCUUGCUAGUAACUGAAAAUGAAAAUUUGAUUCUCCGUAAUCUAAUGCAAUAAAACUAGUUUCAUGGAAGAAACUAGUUGAAUGAAAGAGACCGAAGAAAUAAAAAAAACAAACUUCUGGAGAAAACUUCACACCCAAAAUCCAACAAACCAAUCAACUACCUAUUCUACCUACGGAGCUUCUUGAAGAGCAAACUAAAAACUAGUCUCCCGCUUAUGAAGCUAUCAUCUGAUAUAUAUAAGGCAAGCCUUUAGUCUUCAUAGCUUUUUCAUAGUCUUUUCUCCUUGAGCCCACUAAUCUAGUGCCUUGUUAUUUUAUUGGAGCACUAGUCUCCCACAAUAAUCAAAGCUACGUAGGAAGCAAAUAGAAAAGCUACUUUCAUCAUCAAAGUCCACCUAUGGCUAAUGAGUACAUCUCCCAAAAGAAGAACACAUUUUCUAAAUCAAUGUUACGUGGUCCCUGCAGAAUUCUCUCCUUUUGACUUCUUAUUGCUAGUGGACUUGUCAGGACUUAAUAAUAGGAAGGCAACUCUACAUCAGCAAUUCCGUUGGUUUGCACAAUUUGGGCUGAUUGUGGAAAGCUUUUAGAAGCUUUCACGUGUGGAGAGAUCUUCUCAAGAAGGUUCCCUUUUAGCACUUUUCUGCUCCACUUUCUGAAAUUAUAUCCAAAUACCAAAUAUAAAUAUAUAUUGACAAUUAAAGCAAUAUCUGGCAAGGAUAAAGAGGAGAAUUAACAAUAAAAUUACUAACAAUUAACAUCCUAUCAGAAGCCGGCGAAGGGGGUGGGUCAACGGGUUACUGGUUCGACCGGUGGGUGAGUGGUUGAACCGGUGGGUCACUAAAUAUAUUUAAAUAUUAUAUUUCAUAAUUUUUUAUAUAAGAUAUAUGAUAUAAAUUGUAAUAAAUAAUGCCAUAGUAAAAGCUCAUUUAAUUUAAUUUGCUAUAAAAUAAUUAAUUCAUAUAAGAAUCAAUUAAAUAUAAAGUUAUUUAGUAAUACACCAAACUUCAAGUGUAAAAUUUUAUCUAUAUUUAGUGUAAUAAUGUAGCUUAUUUAUGAAUUUUAAGUGUAAAAAAUUAUUAAAUUAAUAUUUAUCUUUGAAAUGAAUUAUGUAAUGUGUUAUUUUUGAAAUUUAUUUUAUAAAUUAUAGAGUUUGGAGGGUACUAAUUUUUAUUAAAAGAUUUCAAAUAAAUUUAUUUUAGAGAAAGAAAGAUAGAAUUGAAAAAACAUAUAUAUAUUAUAAUAAAGACCUUUUAUUAACAAAUUUCGGAGUAGCCUAGUGGUAAGCAUGCAUUAUUGAUUGGUGGAUGUCCAAGGUUCGAGCCUUGACAAAGGCAAUAAAAGUUUUUCACCAAAAACGGGCCGGGAACGGUCCGUGGACAAACCCGGCCGGGUUUCCCGAUUAGCCCGGUCCGAUCGCCAGGCCGUUGACUAGUCAACGGUUCCGUAGCCCAAACGAUCUAAUUUAAAACUCGGCCCGGCCCAAUGGCUGGUUCACCGGUUCGACCGCCGGGCCGGGCCGGGUUUAUUAACUAUGCUUUGAACACCCUUGAGUGACAGAGGAUAACGCGGAGGAAACCAGGGACACAAACGAAAUUCAUGUACGAGGCAUACCUAAAGAUAAAAUAAGAAGAAGGGAAACAUUACAAAUUAAAAUCCAGAAGAGGAUCAUAUAAAUAAAUUUUUAAAAAUUGAAAAAACAAAUUUUAUUGUCUCGGUUGUGAGCAUUUACCGAGAUAAUAAAGGUGCUACUCCUCAUACUAUGAAAUUUGUGAGCUACUCUCUCGUGAAAGAAAACGUCUCUCUUUUCAUCCUCACACUAUGAACUAGAAAGAAUACUCUAAAGGUGCUGAACCUAGUGCUCUACUUUCUCGUGCUUAGGUUCUCCAAAUGGUUAUUAGAUAGAUAAACCGGAGAAAAUGUUCAAUGAAGCUAUUCUUGCUACAAGGAUUCUCACGUCUUUUUCAUUUAUAAUUUACCUUCCGUAUAUCAUAUCUUGAAUUCUAUUAUGAUGAUUCGUUUAAUAUCGAGUUGUAUUUUGGCUUUAGUUACUUAUCCUUCAAUGUGAAAGUGAAACUUUUGAUCAAUCAAUAAAACAAACAAAUGAAAGGCAAACCGAAAGAUUGCUUGUACAUAAACUUUAUAAGUAACAUCACAUAUUGCUUUUUGCAACAUAAAUAGUAACAUGUGUCUAGCCAACCCCGUAUACAGGGAAGGGAGGCCAGCCCUUAAUUUAUUAAAGAUGAGGCGACAAUAAUACAAAGAGUUCGAGAGAAGCCAGGUCUAGCACCAAAGCUAAAACUAAUUCUAUAGAAGCCGUACAUGCGGAAGAGACCUGAUGUCUAAAGAAAUAGCCACACAAAUGCUGUUCAGGAGACAAUCCAUAGAAUCAAAGAGCGCAAUGGAUCCUCUAUAUCACACCCUGUCUCACAUCCUAUCUCACUCUUUCUAAUCCUGCCAAGUGUCUCUUUAUAAACCAAAUCCUAAAACAACCCAACUCGGAUCAUAUUUAAUUAGUUAACUGAUUAAUCGGGCAGAAAAACUUAAUCUCUAUAACCGGUUAUCAAUUAAAAUAAAAACCCAAUCACAAAAUUAGAGAUUAAACAUCUUUUAAAAAAUCAUCAGAAACCCUGAGUCGUCAUCUCCUCCACCGUACCCUUCGAAACAAAAGAAUCAAAUAUCACUCCUUCUCAAAAGAUUAAGUUUUUCGGGUGAAACUCAUCAUCUCAAUCAAAUAGAUCACUCACAGAGAUUUAAAAAAGAAAUCCCGAAACUUAACAACUAAAACAAGACGAACCCAUCAAUCCCUUUGCAUAAAUUCUUUGAGUUGCCCACUGAGGAAAAGAGUAACUAUUUGAAGGAAAAUUCACCUACUCCCGCUGUUCAGUUGAAGACUAGCUUUCGUUUAGCAGAAUCGGUUUUGGAGUGGUGAUUUUCUUAUGCAUUGGUAUUUCCCAGAUGCUGAAAGUGUUAAUCUCUGGCCUGCUGCGUCCAAGAUAGUUCUUAAUUUCAUGGAUCCUUUUUAUUUUCUCAACGAUUUACUGGAAAAUAUGGGUAAUUAUUAUUCAAUGAAGAAGCAGAGAAUCAUCAUGAAUUUGGAUUUCUCAAUUCACAGGUGGUGGCGUCAUUCAAUUGCCCUUCCCGAAACACGCAAGAUGAUGAGUUUCACCCGAAAAACUUAAUCUUUUGAGAAGGAGUGAUAUUUGAUUCUUUUGUUUCGAAGGGUACGGUGGAGGAGAUGACGACUCAGGGUUUUCGAUGAUUUUUUUCCCUUGUUUAAUCUCUAAUUUUGUGAUUGGGUUUUUAUUUUAAUUGAUAACCGGUUAUAGAGAUAAAGUUUUUCUGCCCGAUUAAUCGGUUAACUAAUUAAAUAUGAUCCGAGUUGGGUUGUUUCAAGAUUUGGUUUAUAAAGGGACACUUAGCAAGAUUAAAAGGAGUGGGAUAGGAUGUGAGACAGGGUGUGGUAUAGAGGAUCCGUUGCGAUCAAAGAGGCAAUCCGAACCCAAACACAGAAACGCAAAACCAUCUGCCACAAAAUUAGCUUCUCUAAACACGUGACAGACCUACACUUGUUAUUCAAGAACUAGACGUUUUAUUUUCCACGAAGUAUUAAAUAUUGACCAUCUUGUCAACCCACUGCUGUGGAUCAUCUAGAAAAGCGCAGAAGAAUAAGUUUCUACCAUAAAACUGCGGAACCCUUCUGAUAGCAAAACUCAAGACUGGCCAAUAAAGCUGCAGCUUUCACUGAAAGGACAUCCAUCUCCCCAAAUUCCUUAUAAUAAGCAAAAACAAGAUGACCGUCAUGCUCACGCAAAACACCCCCACCUGAGGCACACCCAUUAGAAACACUGGCAUUGGAGUUGAGCUUAAGUGAAUGCAAAGCUGGCUUAGACCAUGAAAUUGCAACAACUCAUCGCACCCGAGGCAUGGCCUUAGCAAAUCGCGACCAACGGCAAUCAUUGUCCCCCGAGAAAUAAGACUUUAAAAAUACUCCAGAAGUGCCCAUUUGGUCCAAGAAAUUCUCGACAAGUAAUAUUACUUGAUCAGAGGAAAAGGCAACUCCUUGAAAUCUUGACGUAUUUCUUGCCUUCCAAAGGAACCAAAGAACUAAGAUGGGGAUGAGGAAACGAAUAUGAGACCUAAUGACCUUCAAAUUCGAACAAGCCCAUGGGAUAAGCUGUGACGAGAUACCUCUAGCAUUAAAUACGAGCACCCCAAAUAUCUUAGCAAAAUGAGUCCAAAUAGCAGCUGCUACAGGCCCAUGCAAAAACUAAUGCUCAAUUACAGAUUCCCUUAGAUUCACUAACAAAUGCCCGAUAAAUUCUCUUAGAUUCAAUAUUAUGAUCCCACAGAAAGGAGUUGCAAAUCCUUCCUAAUGCUACCAUUACAGAUUUUGGAGGGGAAAGCACUUGAAGCAAAAACAAAGGAAUAGAACUCAAAACAUGACGUAAAAGAAUUAUUUUGCCUCCUAUGCUUAACAUGUUGGUGCUCCAAUGGAAGAGCCUCUGGCGGAGCUUUGACAAAAUGCCACCACAAGCCACAGAGUUUAACUUUCCCUUGACCAAAGGCGCACCCAAAUAUCUAAUUGGAAACUCCUGCUGUUGGAAUCCCAACGCCGAAGAAACUAACAUGACUUGCUGCGGCAAAGCCCGAGAAGAAACCAAAAAAGAGCUUUUCCCUACAUUAACAUUUUGGCCAGAGAAGGAUUGAUAACUCGACAAAAACUCUUUCACCCCAUGCAGACAAUCCUCGGAACAAUGACGAAAAAUGACUUUAUCAUUCGCAAAUGCAAGGUAUGGAAUUUUGGUCCCAGCCGAGACCAAAAACUUACGUUUAUCCUCACUAAAUAAUUGUUGAAGACCUCUCCCUAACGGGGGGAUAAUGGAUCACCCUGCUGCAUGCCCCUGGAUGACUUGAAGAACCCCGUUGGCUCCCCAUUUAUGAGCACAGAGAACCAAGAAUUUGAAAAAGUGUAAAACAACAAAUCUACCACCCAUUCAAUAAAACCAAACUUGUGCAACAUACUAAGCAAGAAAUGUCACUCCACCCAAUCAUACACCUUUUCCAUGUCUAAUUUUAAAAUCAAGUUUGGGAAGGCCAAUUGUCUAUCAUGGUCCAUCACCAAUUCCUGCGCAAGCAGAAUGUUGUCUACAAUACCUCAUCCUGGCACAUACCCAGUUUGCCAAGGCAUAAUAGUCUGAGGUAGAAUUUUAUUGAGCCUAUUCACCAAAAUUUUUGAAAUUAUUUUGGAGCUAACAUUGCAUAAACCAAUAGGGAGAAAAUCACAUCAAGAAGAAGCUCUGUCCACUUUGGGAAGAAGAACAAUUAAUGAACUUGAGAAACCACGUGGUUGUUCCAUUACCCUGAAGUAAUCAUGCACUGCCGACAAAAGAUCCUACUUGACUAUAUCCCAGCAAAACUGGGAAACUACCACCAAAGCCAUCUAGGCCCGGAGCACUAUCUAUAUCCAUGGAAAAGACCACCUAAUGAACCUCUUCAAGAGAUGGAAGCUGCUGCAUCAUAUCAUUUUCGGCCUCAUCAACUGCUAGAGUCUCAAAAGAAAAAUUCAGAGAGGAAACACAACCUUCUAAAGAAAAUAAUUGCGUUUAGAACUCCACUACCAAGAGUUUGAUUUGAUCUAAAGAAUAAACCCAGCCCGCAUUCUCAUCCUUAAUGCGAGAUAUGUAACUGCAAUUUCUCUGUUGCUGCAUAACUGAAUGAAAAUAUGAAGUGUUUGCAUCUCCCAACUUGAGCCAUUUAAUCCCGACUUUUGCUGCCAAAACUCUCCUUCAACCGCCAAUGCCCUCAUAUACAUCGAUCUUGCCUCAUUGAGAUGAACUUUCGAUUGCUCAUCCCUAGAGCCAUCGUACUCAAAUUCCCUAAACUUGUAAAACUCCUCCGCUUGUUCGACUACCGAAAAAAUAUUACCAAAAGUUUCUCGACUCCAAACUCUUAAUCGUUUACGAAGGGACACCAAUUUGGAGUGAAAUAGAACCAUACUAGUACCAAAUCGAGAUUUCCGCCAGUCCGCUUCCAUAACACCCAAUAAGGAUGCUCACCUCGGUCUUCGUCAAGGCCGAGGUUAUCUCACCUCGUCCGUCAUACAAACCGAGAAGAUAUCUUUUAGCCAUAACUCCUUCCUUUGUCCUCGGUUGUAUCUCAGGUCUACAUCACGGAAGACCUCUGUACUUUAGGUGUGUCAUCCCGGCUCCACACGGAUGAUAUUAACCUGCCUGACAGCACACUGGAGGCCAUUGCUUUAUCUGAAAAAACAACUGGUGCUCUUAAUGGCUACUGCACAGGACUACUUGUCAGCAUGUCCAGACUGCUACAGUGUCAGAGUUAGACCUCCAAGUGCAGAACAGAGCCGUAAUAGUCAAGAUGGGGGUCCCGCUAACAUAAGCCCACCGUCCUGUCCUCCACUCCUGCUCUAUAAAUAUCCCCUGUUCACUCCCAACAAAGGAGGAUACUAUUGCAUUUAUACUGUUCAUUACUCUUCAUUUUCUUUCAUACUGACUUGAUCAUCGGAGUGAUCUCAGGAGACAAAGCCCCGCCUCCCACUUCGGACAAGCGAAUCCAUCACACCUCACUUGAGACAGGACUAAUUCAGGUCGGUUCGGCUACCUACCAGAAAUCACCUCGUCAAUUGGCGCCAUUUGUGGGAACGAGAUUGCUUCCAAAAUGAGACCUACACGCUCUAGGAGUAGAAGAGUUCCCUCCACUAGAGUUGAGCCCAGCUCCGCUGCUCAGCAAGACCACGAGUCUGAGGAGCAAGGGUCCCCGAGGACCCAACCUGCAAAUGAAGACGCCAUCAUCCAGAUGGCCGAGUUUGUAGCAGACAAUCCCAACAUCUUCGAGGAGUGUGAGAGGUACUUCAAGAGACAGGGAAAGGAAAAAGUUGAAUCUUCAAAAAGGAGAUCGACAAAAUCCCCUGAGAUGCCUUCCGAGAAGGACUCUGAUGACAGGCAUCUUGCCCGGAAUACCUCAAAACGCGCCUUCUCCAAGGCGACCUCCAAGAUUGACUCUAUUUCCGGGCGUUUUCCCGGGGUCUACUGGGAAGACGAACUGAAGACGCACCUCGGUGGCCUAAGGGGCUAGCCGCCGACUACAUGAGGGCUCCGUCCUUCACUGAUGACAUCAAUGGGGAGAGAGUUCUCCUCGAUUUUAAGGGUCCGGUAUUGCAGCCCUAUGAUGGACGAGGUGACCUCGAGAAUCACUUUCGCGCCUUCAUCACGAGAUUCCGCCUCUACUACGUGCCUGAAGCCAUAAUUUGCUUAGCUUUCCCCAUAUUCUUGCAAGGGACAGCUCGAAAUGGUUUUGGAGCUUGGAACCAGGGAGCAUUUCCUCACUGGAUGAGCUAGUGGACAGGUUCAUCCACCACUUCGUAUCAUCUCGCCCAGUUACGAAAAUCUCGGCCUACCUGCUAAACAUACAACAGGCUCCAGGGGAGUCUCUGCGUUUGUAUGUGUAGAGGUUCAAUAAGGAAAAUAUGCAGAUACCCGAUCAAAAUGAGCAGGUAACCAUAGCUGCAUUUACUAAUGGGUUGAUCGCAAGAACAUUCCACACAGAAAUUCACCGGGAUUACCCGCGGACACUUCGAGAAAUCUGGGAAAUGGUAAACCGAAAUAUCCGAAGUGAGGACCUGAACCACAUGAAACGGGAAGUCCAAACAACCCGCGCUGGGCAAGAGUCCCGAAGGAAGAAAGAAACUAGCUGAGCUGAACAAGGCGCCAGCAGCUCGUCGAAUCCAUUCCGAGACCGCUGAAACGUUUUUGAGAGGAUUGUGAAGAGAAGGUCGCCCAUCUCGGACACCGAGUUGACUCCCCUCAACUCUAACCGGUCUCACAUUCUGGCGGUAAUGAGGCAAAACCACCUCGGUCGAGCCCCUCCUGAGAUUUUGGGUAGGAGGGAGAAGAAGAACUCCAGCCUCUAUUGUGCCUACGAUCGAAAUGUUAGGUACGAGACCGAGGAUUGUAAUGACUUGAAGAAAGAAAUUGGAAACUUGAUCAGACAGAGAUACUUGAAGCAAUUCGUCUGCAAGGAAGGAGGCUUCAACCGAAAUGCAUCCCACCAAAAUAACCGAGGUCCUCAUCGAGAAAAUAGGCGGGACACGAAAAGUCAUUGCCGUGGGCCUGAGGACCAUAGGGAGGACCAAAGGCCUCCCUGAGACGGCUCCCCUGGCUACGGCUCUAACAUCGUUGGAGUCAUCAACACAAUUGCAGGUGGUCCGACGGGAGGAGACAACCAGAACUUCCGGAAAUAGACCUACCGUCAAGUUGGUCUGGAAGCUGCCGAGCCGAGCUCCACGCUAUCUGAUGUGAUCACUUAUGGUCCCAGCGACCCUUUUCCUACUGCCUCUAGCAACUACGAAACUCUCGUGAUUGAAGUCCUCAUCAAUAAUUAUAAAGUUAAGAAGGUUUAUGUCGAUCCCGGCAGCUCAGUAGACGUCUUGUACUACCGAAUUUUGGAGAGCUUGAAACUGACCAGAGAGCAGCUCACUCCUAUCAGGACCCCUUCGUCUAUUUCGGAGGACACGUGGUCCACCCAGAGGGGAUGGUAUCCCUAAUGGUGACUGUUGGCCAUCACCCCCACUGCCGAACUAUACCCGUUAGUUUUGCGGUUGCCAAAACAGAUUCUCCAUAUAAUAUGUUGAUAGGCCGGCCCACGCUCAACACCUUAAGGGCUGUGUACUCCUCCUACUACCUGAGUUUCAAGUUCCCGACACCUGCGAGUGUGAUCGAAGUGAGCAGCGAUGUGAACACGGGCAAAGAAUGCUACCUCGCCACCAUCCAGGCCGCAGUUACUCCCCAAACUGAAUCAAAUGUUGAGGAAAAGAGGCCAACUGUCCUUUCCAUAGACAUCAUUGAUCUUCUGAAAGCCAGAAAGCCUGGCAGGCUUGAACCCGGAGACGAGGUGGAGGAAGUGACCUUGGACGAGGUGAGGCCUGACCAAAUGAUCUAAGUGGGGACUUGUCUCCCCUCGCCCCUCAAAGAAGAAAUAAUCAACCUGAUAAGGGAGUACCGAGGCGUUUUCGCAUGGUCUGCCGAUGAAGUGGUCGGAGUGCCUCACGAGCUCAUGAUUCACCAACUUAACGUCAAUCCAUAGACCCAUCCUGCGAGACAAGAAUGUAGACACUUCGGUCCUGAACGCAGUAAGGCCAUAUCCAAAGAGGUCAACAAACUCUUGCCCGCCAAGAUGAUCCAUAAAGUCCAAUACCCCACCUGAUUGUCCAACCUCGUCAUGGUUAAAAAGGACACCGGUGGGUGGAGAAUGUGUGUGGAUUUCACCGAUGUUAAUAAAACUUGCCCUAAAAACGGUUACCCUCUACCGAGAAUAAACGCCCUCAUCGAUUCGGCCAUGGGGCAUGAGAUCAUCUGCUUCCUAGACGCCUUUAAAGGAUACCAUCAGAUAGGAAUGAGUGGGGAAGAUCAAGAAGAGACGGCAUUCUACACCGAUCGAGGUGUCUACUGCUACACCACAAUGCCCUUUAGGUUGAAGAACGCCGGGGCGACCUACCAAAGGUUGGUCAACCGUCUCUUCAAUGAUCAGAUCGGCCGCAAUAUGGAGGGCUACAUGGAUGACAUUCUCUUGAAGAGUCAAACUACUUCGGACUUCCUACCCGAUUUAAAGGAGGUGUUCGGCAUUUUUCGAGACUCCAGGAUGAUGCUCAACCCGAAGAAAUACUUUUUCAGAGUCACUUCGGAGAAAUUCUUAGGAUACCUGGUCUCCCACCGGGGAAUCGAAGCUAAUUCCGAUAAGGUGAAGGUCAUUCAGGACAUGUCUCCACCUCGAAACAUCCGGGAAGUUCAAAGGUUAAAUGGCCGCCUGGCCGCGUUGAACCGCUUCCUGUCUCAAUCCGCUAAGAAGGCUUUACCCUUCUUCAAGGUGUUGAAGACAGCUGACCAGUUCGCUUAGACAGAAGAGUGUCAACAUACCUUUGACCAAAUGAAGGAAUACCUACAUCACCUUCCCACUCUUGCCUUACCUCGGCCUGAAGAGAGGUUGUACCCAUACCUAUCUGUGACAGACAAGGCUGUCAGUGCUGUUCUCAUCCGAGAUAAGGGAACUCAAGUGCCCGUCUACUAUGUCAGCCGGAUUCUAUACGGGCCGGAAACUCGAUACAUCCGAGUGGAGAAGCUCGUCCUAGGGUUGGUUCACGCAGCGCGACGGUUGAAGCCCUACUUCCUCGCCCAUCCCGUAUCCGUGAGGACAGAUCAGCCUAUUCGACAGAUAUUGGUGCGUUCCGAGACUUUCGGACGUUUUAUCAAGUGGGCUGUCGAAUUAGGAAAGUACGACCUGUCGUAUGAGUCUCGGACGGCACUUAAAGCCCAAGCAUUAGCAGAUUUCUUAGCCGAGCUCACAUUCUCUGUGAGCCAAAACACUACCUCAGAACCGUCCGAACCCCAAUGCUAGACGCUGUACUUGGAUGGAUUCUCCAACAGUGACGACAGUAGAACAGGACUACUCUUGGAAGAUCCUCACGGAGAGGUGUGUUCGUAUGUCCUCCGAUUUGACUUCUUCACAACCAAUAACGAGGCCGAGCACGAGGCUCUAAUUGCGGGUCUUCGGUUAGCCCACAGACUCGGUUCUCGGCACAUCCAAAUCUACAGUGACUCCCAACUUGUGGUAUGCCAAGUACUUUCUGAAUAUGAAACUAAGAAGGAAACCAUGCAAUGGUACCUUUCAAAAGUUCGCCAACUUAGUGCAUGCUUCGAGUCAUUUAAAAUCCAAAAAAUACAUCGAUCACAGAAUCAUCGAGCCGAUACUCUGUCUCGGCUAGUUUCCAUUUCAUUUUCGACCCUCAACAAGAAAGUUCUUGUAGAAGUGGCGACCGAGCCCGGGUACUUAGAAGAAGUGGCCUACCCCGUACAUUCGAGGGACAUAUGGAUAAGUUCCCUCCUCCUAUUCUUAAGCCAAGGGAUCCUGCUUGAUGACCGAGUUGAGGCCAGAAGAGUGCAACGAAAGGCAGCUCACUAUGCCCUUCGAGAAGGCGAGCUGUACAAACGUUCGUAUCUCGGGCCGUGACUGAGAUGCAUCACUCCAGAGGAGGGGCACCUCAUACUCCAGGAAGUUCAUGAAGGCCUGUGUGAGGCCUAUCUCGGCCACCGGAUACUGGCAAAAAAACCCUGCUCCUUGGGUAUUUCUGGCCCACUAUUCAACAAGACGCUCAGGGUCUCGUUCUUAGCUGCCUUCAUGCCAAUUCCAUGCCACGGAGCAUCAUCAGCCGGCCAACUUCAUGGUCCCCAUCGCCUUACCUUGGUCAUUCAAGUAAUGGGGGACGGGCAUCAUCGGCCCUUUCCCUAAAGCUGUUAGGGGUUAUACCUUUCUCGUAACUGCUGUUGACUAUUUCUUCAAAUAGGUUGAGGCCGAAUCUCUCAGGACCAUCACGGGGCUGGCUGUUCAGAAGUUUUUCUGGAAAUGCAUCGUUUGCCGCUUCGAAAUUCCUCGAGUAAUCAUCUCAAACAACGAAAAGCAGUUUGCUGACAAUCCAUUCAAAGGAUGAUGCGAGAACCUUGGCAUCAAGCAACAUUUCAUCUCAGUUGGCCAUCCACAAGCGAAUGGUCAGGCAGAAAAUUUCAAUCGAACUCUCUUGCAUGGCCUGAAAACCCGAUUGCACCAAACUGGAUCAUCCUAGAUAGAUGAACUCCCCAAUGUCCUGUGGUCCUAUCGGACAAUGCCUAGGUCGGCCACUCAAGAGACUCUCUUCUCCUUGACCUAUGGGUCCGAGGCAGUUAUACCAACUGAAAUCCUUACAUCAAGCCCUCGUAUGGCAGCCUACGCAGUCGAAGUGAACGAAAGGGAAAGACAACUGGACCUCGACCUCGUGGAGGAAAGAAGGGAUGCAGCCUUGACCUGGGCGGCCUCACUCUCUUCCUCCUUGGCCUCGGCCUGAGUAAGUCGCUCUUGGAUGUGGGUCUUCUUGGACUCAGCAACAGCAAGCUACUUCUCCAACUUGGAGAUUUUAUUCUGCAACUUGCCGGAGUCCUGCUCCUCCAGCAUGUCGUUGUACUGACGUGCCAUCUCGGGCACGAAAGUAGUGGAAGAAGCCGUCGCCACCAUGAGACUCUGGAUCACCUCAUGAGGAGUCAACUUCUCCGUAAACUCCGCAUCCCUUGGCAAGUUGGAAAGCAUGAUCAGCUCUUGUGCCGCACGAGAGUGGGUGCACCAGUCAUUAAUUAAGAGUUGCCAGUUCGGACACCAAUAUUCACCAGGGUACACCUGAUCUUUCCCGAAAAAUUAAGAUAAAGAAAGUAACACUCCCCUAUUGUUGCAAUUGAAAUGUCAAAGCAUGAAUUCCACUAGCAAUUGUCCACUUAUCUUGACAACUUCAUGAGUUCCAUUGGAAUUCAUUAGUAAUACCAUCUAAAAUUGGAAAAUGAGAGACAAAUGAAAAACAAUAAAAUAACUCAAACACAUAAUUUAAACAUGAAAUCACACCAAAAUAACAUAAAUAGCCAAAACAUUGGACUGCCUCCCAAUAACCGCUUUUGUUUAUAGUCGUUGGCUCGACUUUUUCACGUCAUUUCUCAAGGAGCUUUAGUUAACGAAUAAUCUACCAUUUUUGGACGUGGUGGAUCAUUAAAAGGUGACUCAAUCACAUGAGUCACGUGUUCUAAUGAUAUAAGAAGUGGAAGUAACUUAUCUAACUCAAGUGAAUCAUAGAUAUUACCUUGCACAUACACCACUUGAAUACUCACCAAAGGAACAUCUACAUAGCUUUCUUGGGCUAUAAUACCAUUAGAACCUAUACAAUUAACAUGUUCCUCAAGAGGGGUGAAAAAUGAGUCGUUAAGGCUCGCCUCUUGCGGUUCAAUGUUAGCUCCAAAUGUACUAUCCUGUGAAAUGGACAUUUCCUCAUUGAAACACGAGUUAGAUUCAUCAUUUUGAUCAAAAUUUAAUCCAUUGUCACAUACAACAUUCCCACCAUUCAUAAUAGGACCAUUUUGCAUAUCAUUAGAGAAAAUAACUUCACAUAAUGCAUACAAUUGGUCUUGUAUUCUACCAAAGUGAGAAAUUAAUUCAUCUAACAUUUCAUCAACCCUAUCAAAACGGUUGGAGGUUGCAUUUGUUAGCUUUUCUAUGGCUAAAUCAAAUUGAUUAGAAGAAUUUUCUACAGCUAGCUCCCAAGAUGCAUUAGAAUCAUUAGCUAAUGGUUCACUUUCUAAUUCCCAAGGUAGAGGUGCAUUAGUUAACUUCUCUAUUGCCAACUCCCAAGAUGGUUUUGAUUCAUAUUGGACACUUUCACGUUGGUAAUCAUAAAAAUUUGGAGAAUCACUAUAUCCACAUUGAUUAUCCCAACCAUACGUAGGAGAAUUGUUCCAAUUAGCACUGUAUUGAUCAAAACAAGAAUUGUAAUGCUCUAAUUCAUCAUAAUAAUCCAUAUUUUGUACUUGUCUACAUGUAUUAGUAGCAUGAUAACCUCCACACAAGUCACAAAUCACAUGAUAAUAAUUAAAAAUAUUAACAUUCUUCCCUUGCUCAAUUUCAUGCAUAAUUGUGUCCAUUUGAACUUGUAGCAUCAUAACAUCAAAUUUAGCUUUUAAGCAUCUUAAACCAUCUUCAAAAGACAUACAUUCAGAAAACUCUUGGUUACCUCUAUUGAAGGAGUUUUGUACUUGGUAACCAUCCAUUGCUAAUCUUCCACUUCUCAAGCAUUGUCCUCCAAAUUGACCUACCCUUCUCAUCACCUAAAAUUGCUUUUAAACUACCUCAAAAGCAAAAUUAAUAAGAAAAAUAGGUAAUGAAACACAUACACACAUAAAACACAAAAAUAACAGAAAAUAAUAUUCACACUAUAACUAAUGAAAUGUCUAAACUAAUAAAGUUGAUCUUCACACCGAUAUUGCCAAAUCUUCCCCGGUAACGGCGCCAAAAACUUGAACAUGCGCAGGGUAUACAUAUAUAAUUAGCUCAUUCACAAUCAAGUUUUAUAUUUCUAAACUCCUAAAUACCCCACACGCGAUUUAUCGCAAGUAUACGAAUCGUGAGUGAGAUAUGGUAUUAAGGGUCGAUCCCAUCGGGAAUAUUGUAAUUAUCGGUGUUUUUCAAACUCCUUUAUUAUCUAGACUACCAUAAAUAUAAAAGUGUAAUAAAAAUUAACACUAGAAAGCUUCUAGAGAUAUGGAAUUCCUUACUACUCUUGCAAAUGAAGUUACCGGUUAAAUGAAUGUUAUUAUCUUAGCUAGUUAUGGCGUAAUUUCCUAAUGUAUGUGAAACCUACUCUCGUAGUAAAUCAACUAUACUUGUAACUAAACCAUACAUAUUCUCGUGGUUAUAAAUUAACUAUAAGUUUAUUUCUUCUAUGAAAUUACAUGAAACAAGUCGGUAAAACCAUAUAGGUGCACCUCUACUCUCGUGAGUGUACUCCCUAGUUUUAUCACUUCCAUGGAUUAGUGUUAAAUUCCAAUUCUCAUUGCAAAUUUAACACCUUUAGAUAAUCACAAUUAAUGGCCAUUUAAUUAUGAUUAGAAUAUCAAAAGUGAUAAAUAACUUGCUCAAAAUAAUAUCACCAAAUAACCAAAUAAACAUCAAUAACAAAAUAUAGAAAGUCCAUCCAUACUCUAGGCAUUAACUUUAAAAAUACAUAAUAAACAUAAAAUCCAAAACUUGUAUAUUAACCAUACUUAAGAAUCCAAUACAAAAGAUAACGAGUUGGAGAAGAGAUAACCCAUGUCACUUGAGUUUCAAUUCCUCCUUUUUCAUCUCCAUCUUCAUCCCAAUCUAGAAUGAUGAACUAACUAGUUAAACUAUCCUACACUAAGGAAAUGAAAGAACUACAUUUUUGUGGUAAUUCUUGCACUCUCCAAGCUCCUGCAAAAAUUGCUAGCUCCAGAGAAUAUGACCAGCCUCAAUUUUUAUCCUAAAAUUCUGAUAUCCUCCAUUCCCCUACCGUAUUUUUCUUCUCCCCUUUGAUUCUCUAAAUCUGGUGUUAACCAAGUCAACAAAACAAAGUUCCAGCCUCUUGAUUCUACCGUAUAUUUUUUACUUGAUAAUAAGCUAUUUUUCUUCCUUUGUGCAUCAGAAACAUGUGUAGCCUACGUUUUCUCUCCAACUCUAGUUGGAAAGUAGUGUGAAGAUGAGAAAAAUGGCUGAGCAAAUUGCAGAAAUUUGGCUGCCAUACGCAUUUUCACUUUUGACCUCAUUUCAACUGUAAUUUUCUCUAUGAUAGCCAUCAAACUAGCUAUUAUACAAAACACAAAAGUUGUAACCCUUUGAAGUAGUGUUCCAAUACUUCAAAAAUCAUCUAAUUUGGAGAUCGGUGGAUGGGGAUAUGGUCGAAAUACCAUAGACUGGUCAAUUUUGGGCUUCAGCUUUCGACCAUCCAGAUAAAUUUCUGUGUUUCGACUUUUUGACCAAGAAAACGACUGAAUUGGGCUUUGAUAUCUCAUACCAAAUGUAAAUAUAUCUCUUAGCUUCAAAAUGGUACCAAGAUCACCUUGAUCCGAUCAUUGUAGCUCAAGAUAUAUCUGAAAUACCAAGAUAUGUCGAAACUAUCUUUACUUGAAUUCCCUCAAUUAAAUGUUUUGCACUUCAUGCCUUCUUUAAACCACUUCAAUUCAUCAAUUAUCAUCCAAUUUUCUUCUCAAUUCACUCCAACUGAUGAUUGAUUCCUUAAACCUACAAAAACAUGAAAUUCUUUCUAUUAAAAUCUAUAUAAAUAUAAUUUUUGGCAAUUAAACCGUAACAUAGAUAUCUUGACCAAAAUCCUAGUUAAUUAACUAUAAAACUAGAUAAAACACAACAAAAUUAACUAAUAAAACAUACAAAAAAUAUGUAAAAUAUCCACUUAUCAUACACAAUAAUUUAAUGAUAAACAAAUCACAAGCAUGAAAGAUAAACGACACACGAUAUUUAAUGUGGUUCGACUCCAUCAUUGAGCCUACGCCCAUGGAGAGAAAACUCGUUCUUUAUUAUGAGAAGAAAACCCUAUACAAAAAUACAAAUUGAAUCUAAUCCCAACCCUUGUAUAUCAUCCCUCAUCUCUCAAGAACUCUCUCUCAUCACCUAUGCAUAAGGUUACAUGAAGCCUCUUGUGUGCCCUUGUGUGUUUCUUUGUAGUGUGCCUAGAUUUAUAAUUCUAAUUUCUAGACUUAUAUAGAAUAGGAAAUAACUUCUAAUCCUAAACAAAAUUAAAAAUUCCUUGACUACUACUUCAAAUAACUAGAACCAAUUAGGAAACUAGUUACUUCCACACAAAACAAGAAUCCUACCUAAAAGAAAUUAAGUCAAUUUCCUAACAAAUCUCCACCUUGGCAAAAAUUUCUUUUAGCAACAAUUUGUCUUCAAUUACCAAAUAAUAUGAUACCGAACUACACACCCAAAUCAAUACAGUCCUGGUAGCAAAUUGAUUCAAUCGGCAAAAUAAACAUGUGUAGUUACCCGAUGAACAUGUGUAGUUAUCUUGAAUCUAACCUCCAGUUGACUCGUGAGAAGGUACCUCAAUUCACCAUCUCCUUUUGCAGGAUUUCUUCUCACCACCACUUGCAAUCCGGAAUCUCCUUCUGUGAGCUCUAACCCUAACCAUUGAGGCAACCAAGUGGUAAAAUCACUAUAUUUCUUCUCAUCCUCAAGACUGUCUCGCCACAUGUGAUUUCCAAGACUCCACCUAAAACGAAAAACUCGUAUUUGUCAGAGUUUUCUAGCGCAUGAAAAUUAGAUCUCUUUGUUCUUUGGGACACGUGCCACACCAUCCAAAAACAUAACCGAAAUCUAAAAGCUACCAGGAUAAAAUAUCAACCGUUGGAGUUGUGAGAAAGUCUCCACCAAUUUAUGUCCAUAAUCAACAUUGGACUCCACUUUUUUCUUGACUCUUGAAUCACCUGCCUAAAUACACUAUCAAGUAUCUCCAUGUUUUUCGACUUUCCAUCCUUCACCAUCAAUGCUUCUUGCCAAGCUAUUGAAACAAGGAUACCACUCAUUAAAUUAUUUAAUUGGCAAUAACUAUCAAUCUACUUGAUCUCAGUAGUUAACUAGGAUCCAACGUUGAACAACCAAACUCUUGAUCCAACCAUUCAAUUUGUUGAGAUCCAAGUGCUUGUAAGCAGCCGAGUUUCACAACCAAGCUCUAAUACCACUUAUUAGGAUCUAAGCGCGGAACAAACAACUAUUGAGAUAUCAAGUACACAACAAUUUAAUAAUAAACAAGUCACAAGCAUGAAAGAUAAACAACAUACAAUAUUUAACGUGGUUCGACUCCAUCAUUGAGCCUACAUCCACGGAGAGAAAACACGUUCUUUAUUAUGAUAGGAAAAUCCUAUACAAGAAUACAAUUUGAACUAAAUCCCAACCCUUGUAUACCAUUUCUCAUCUUUCAAGAACCCUCUCUUACCACCCAUAUAUAAGGCUACAAGUCGCCUCUUGUGUGCCCUUGUGUGCCUCUUUAUAGUAUGUCAAUCCACCUAUUUAUAGAGAAUAUUAUUUGAAAAAAACCCAAAUAACAAUAGGAAUCCAAUUCUAAUUUCUAGACUUAUAUAGAAUAGGAAAUAACUUCUAAUUCUAAACAAAAUAGAAAAUUCAUUGACUACUAUUUCAAGUAACUAAAAUCAAUUAGAAAACUAGUUACUUCUACACAAAACAAGAAUCCUACCUAAAAGAAAUUAAUCCAAUUUCCUAACAUAUAUAUAUACACAUGACACCUUCUCCUUAUACAUUAUGACUUUGUUUUCAUAAGAGCCUCUAACUUCUAACCUUGACAUUACUUCAUAAGGCACAAAAGUCGUACUGGAAUACAAAAGUGACGCUUCGAGUUCUAUCCACAGGCGGACAUUUGUAUUGAUAAUUUGAUAUGGAUCACAAGGAAUUUUACAUGCCCCAAACUCGAGAUAUUGCAUCCUUAUUUAUGCAUGCCACACACGUAGCAAAUGAAGAGCAUGGGUUUUGUGGUGGUGUUUAUUUGAUGCAUCUCGAUUUUCCACUCAUGAAUUUGUCAUUUUGUCUGCCAAAAACAAGAUUCAAGUAACAUAUAUAUACAUAUGCCAAAUGAAGAUUACAAGUAUUAUGGUGGUACUUUAUUUGAUGCAUUUCAAUUUUUUACUCAUACCUACAACCUACCCUAUUCCGGAGACCUCUAACAAAACUAGAUUUUUGCAGCUCCAAUUUCUGUAUAUGUGAAUGAAUAACUUAAUUGCAAAAUUGUUCUGUAUUAUAAGGAUAGGCAAAGUUGUCCCCCCGUAAGAAAUAAAAAUUUGUUCUGGCAGUUAACAUUGGCAUAUAAAUGGCCUUCAUUAGUGCUACUGAUCCUCCAAAUUCAUAACAUACUCCUCCAGGUUCAUGUUUACAGCAUGAAGUAUUAGCAUCACAUUUCACUUUUUCUCCACAUCCCGAAUGCACUUUCCCUUGUCUUUUAUACUUGAAGUCAUCAAGUUGGAACUUGAAACCCUAUCUAGAUCAUCAACAGUAAAUUUUUGUCAAAUCAAAUGAAGGUAUUAGCCAAAGGCAAGAAGAUCCCCUUUAUAAUUUUUCAUGGAAUUCAUGAAUGUUUUUAGUCGAUGUUUGUUGUUAUUCAUAUGCAGAAAUUCUGUCAAUUUUCUCUAAACUGUGAUUGGGCCAAAAUGAGAUAGAUCUCAAAGCUAUAUGGUGCAAUUUGUCCACAGCUAAAGGUCGUGAUGCAAAUUGGGAAUUGGUAAUUAAGUUAUGGCAUGCAAAGUGGGCUUAAUCCAAAAUUUAAUACUAAUGCAAAUCCACUAGCUGAUGCAAGGUUGGGGAGGCAGCUGCUCCCCCAAGACUUUUAGAAAUCCUUUAAUAAUCCUUAGAAAUAAUUAAGUGUUUUCAUGUAUAUCCUUGUAGAAAUUAGAGUUUGCCCCCAAGAUUUUGAAAUCCUUCUAUAUCCCUCUAUAAUGUUAAAGGUUUCCACUUAUAUCAUUGUAAAUAUUAGACUUUGCAUCCCAAAUUUUUAUGAAAAUGCAAGGGUGCCCCCUAGAUAUACAUCUUCACUAAUUUUGCUCUCCCCAAAAUAUGGACUUCUAGGUUGUCGUUGGUUGAAACUUGUAUGCAUUGUAUUGUCCUAUAUCAAUAAAAUUCCAACCUACUUACCAGAAAAUUUUUUUUUUUAAAGUGUUAAAUUGAGUUUCCCUUUAAAAGGAAAAGAAGAACUGGAGUUUCAGGCUUGUAACCCAACUAAUUUCCGUUGCUAAUUCGGUAAUGUAUUUAAUUUGGGAAGAAACAAACCAAAUCAGUGAGAUUAAAGAGAUUAGGAUUUUAUUAGCCUUUAAUAUUUCUGAUUACAUGCAUGAUAAAUUUGUAUUUUGGAAUCAAUCUGACAUAAAGAAGAAUAAAGAAAAUAAGAAAUACAAGUAUCGGAAAUUUGGACUCUAGUUUGAUUCACAAUAAAGAAAAAAACUAAGAGAAGAGUCCAACAACAUCAAAGACUAACUCACUCUCUCCCUUUACAUCUAGCACAAAAUACAUACUACAAAUAUAUGGUACUAGCAUAAUCUUCUGCAUUAACACUUAAUAGAGAAUGUUUAUGCACCACAUUUCCCCUAGAACUUCUCGUAAUUAUGCUGCUGGUGCAACAUAUUUUAUUUCCGUUAAUGAUCACCAUUCUUGUUGACUUUUCAACCCCCGCGAUGGUUGAAUUUGGUGGCAAAUUUUUUCCGUCCCACAUCGGCAAUCAAGAAGGAAAAGCCUCCCCUUGUUUACCUAUAAAUAGGGGGCUUGUUGAAGUUAAUUACACCACUCAAGAGAGCAUUAUAUGGGCUAUUAGUUUCUAGAGUCAUCUAGCCCAUUUAGUCAAAUAUUUUAGGUUCUCUUGUUUUGACUUUUGGAAUAUUUCCUAAACCUUUUGUAAGUGUCAUUUUGGCCUAGGAACCACUUUCCUACGGCUUUUAUAUUUUUUCUUCAUAAUAGAAAUAUUGCUUCUCCCUCGUCCGUAGACGUAGGUCAAUUUGACCGAACCACGUAAAUUUUGAUGUCUUUUAUUUUGCUUUGUUAUUUGUCUUUAUUAGGUUGCCACAACCCUUUUAUAUGGUCGAUUUUACUACCUAAUUAUUAUAUGACUGGUGUCUACCGCCUAACCAUUAUAUGGUCGGUUAUACCGCCUAUUUUGCUCUAACUUUAGUUUGUUUAUUCUUGGGCCAGUCCUAACAAACUGACAGGUUCAUCUCGUGGGGCCCAUUCAUCCUGUGGGAUCCGUACAUCUGGUGGGGUCCGUACAACCUGUGGGGUCCAUUCAUUCCGUGAGCCCAGCUCAUUCCGUGGGAUCCACUCAUCCUGUGAGGCCCGCUCACGAGAUUUGCAUAUUUGUUUGGCCAGUUUUUUUAGACAAACUUCAAGUUACAGAUUUUGUGGCAACAAUGACGACAACAAAGGCGGUUGUCGAGAAAUUCAACAGGAAUGUCAACUUCGGCAUGUGGCAACUCAAGAUGGAGGCCAUUUUGGUUCAAGACGGAGUUGACUUGGCAAUUCAGGGAAUUGAGAAAAAGCUAGAAGAUGUAAAAGAUGCGGAUUUCGCCAAUAUGGAUAAGAAGGCCAGAUCCGGCAUAAUCUUAAAUCUCUCCAAUGAGGUAUUGCAUGAGGUAGCAAUGGAGACUUCGGUCAAGGCUAUGUGGGAUAAAUUAAAAGCCUUGUAUAUGAAGAAGACAGUCGAGAAUCGGCUAUAUCUGAAGCAAAGUUUGUAUAUGUUUCAGAUGUCUGAAGGUACAUUUAUACUCUCCCAUCUUAAUAAAUUUGAUUCCAUUAUUAUGGAUUUAAAGAAUAUAGAUUCAAAAAUUGAUGAUGAAGAUCAGACCCUAUUACUUUUGUAUUCCCUUCCCCAGUCAUUUAAGUAUUUCUGUGAUACUAUGAUUUAUGAAAAGAAAAUAAUUUCGUAUCGAAAAAUUAAAUCUGCAUUAAAAUCUAAAGAGCAGAUAGAUAAGAAUAUUAUUGGGAAAACUAGUGGGAGUCAAGCCGAUGGCUUGUUUAUUUGGGGUAGAUCUGAAAAGAGAAACACAGAAAAUAGAAGUAGAUUCAAGUCCAAACAUAAAAAUGUGGUGUGCAACUAUUGUAAAAAGAAUGGCCAUGUUAUCUCUGAUUGCUUUAAUUGAAAAAUAAAGAAAAGCAAAAAGAAAAAUUUGUUGAGAAAAAUACUAAAUCUGUUGAAACUAGUAUAGCAGCUGAUGAGAAUGAUGGAACAAUUUUCUAUGCAACAGAAAAUAUUUUUAGGUCUAACAAUGUGUGGAUUUUAGAUUCGAGUUGUUCAUAUCAUAUGUGUCCUAAUAGGGACUGGUUUUCAGAAUAUGAAUCAACUGAAGGUGGAGUUGUCUUAAUGGGUAACAACGCCGCUUGUAAAGUUGUUGGCAAAGGCACAAUCCGGAUUAAAAUGUACGAUGGUAUUGUGAGGACACUCACAGAUGUUAGACAUGUUCCAGAUUUGAAGAAAAAUCUCAUCUCUUGCGCACUCUUGAAUCUAUUGGGUGCAGGUAUUCAGGUGGAGAUGGAGUUCUCAAAAUCACUCAAGGAGCUCAUGUUGUUAUGAAGGCACACAGAUCUAGUACUUUAUAUAUUUUGCAGGGAUCUACUAUUACAGGUGCUGCUAUUGUUUCAACAUCAUCUUUGUCAGAUACAGACAUCACCAAAUUAUGGCAUAUGCGUUUGGGGCACAUUAGUGAAAAAAGCUUGGGCAUACUGAGCAAAAGAGAACUUCUUUGUGAACAAAGUACCGGAUCAUUGAAAUUCUGUGAACAUUGUAUUUUUGGAAAGCAGAAAAGAGUCAGUUUCAGUUCACCAGUAAUUUACAAGACAAAAGGUACUGUUAAUUACAUUCAUUCAGAUCUAUGGGGUCCUUCUCGUGCUCCUUCUAAAGGUAAUGCCAGGUACAUGUUGACUUUCAUUGAUGAUUAUUCAAGGAAAGUUUAGGUCUAUUUUCUUAAGUAUAAAAAUGAUGUUUUCUUAACUUUCAAGCAAUGAAAAGUUUUGAUUGAGAGACAAACAGGAAAACAUAUUAAGCGGUUGAGAACAGAUAAUGGCAUGGAAUUUUGUGGAGGUGAAUUUGAUAGAUUUUGUAAAAAUGAAAGAAUUGUUCGGCAUCACACCAUCAGGAUGACGUCUCAACAAAAUGGUGUGGCCGAACAUAUUAACAGAACACUUUUGGAGAGAGCAAGAUGUAUGAUCUCCAAUGCAGGAUUGACAAAUGACUUUUGGGCAGAGGCAAUCAAUAUUGCAUGUUAUAUCGUCAACUGUUCUCGUUCUACAUCUCUUAAUUUCAAAACUCCUGAGGCAAUUUGGUCAGAUACUCCUGCUGAUUACUCCAAUUUAAAAGUUUUUGAGUGUCCAGCAUACAUGCAUGUGAAUAAUAGAAAAUUGGGGCUUAGAGCUAAAAAGUGCAUUUUUCUUGGGUAUGCUUUUAGGGUGAAAGGAUACAGAUUAUGGUGUCCUGAUUCCAAAUUUUCAAAAUUUGUAAUCAGUAGAAAUUUUACUUUUGAUGAAUUGUCUAUGUUAUCUUUCAAAAAGGCGUUUUCUAGUUCUUGUACUACUAAUAGUACACAGAAGCAGGUGGAGCUUGAUAUUGGCAGUUCUAAUCCUUCUCAGUCCAAAUCUUCUAUUCAGCAAGAGCCAGUAGAUGCACCUGAAUCUACUGUUGAAGAUAAUUCAGAAGAAGAGGAGUAUUCCAUAGCCAGAAAUAGAACAAGGAGAGACAUUCGACCACCACAAAGAUAUGCAAAUUUAGUUGCAUAUGCUUUGUCUGUUGCAGAAGAAACUGAUGCAGUUGGUGAGCCUUCCACCUAUUCAGAAGCAGUUUCUUGUGAUGAUUCUGUAAAGUGGUUGAUUGCGAUGAAUGAAAAAAUUAAAUCUCUUCAUCAGAAUGAAACUUGGGUUCUUGUAAAGUCGCCGUUAAACAAGAAAAUAGUUGGUUACAAGUGAGUUUUCAAGAAAAAGAAAGGUAUCCAGGGGUUGAAAAUGCAAGGUAUAAAAUACAAUUAGUUGCAAAGGACUAUAGUCAAGUACAAAGUGUUGAUUUUAAUGAAAUUUUUUCACCUGUUGUUAAACAUAACUCUAUUCGUGUUUUGCUUGCUUUAGUUGCCAUGUAUGAUUUGGAGUUGAAGCAGCUUGAUGUUAAGACAGUUUUCUUACAUGGCGAACUUGAAAAAUAAAUUUAUAUGAAGCAACCUCAGGGUUUUGAGAUUGAAGGUAAAGAAGAUCAUGUUUGCUUGUUGAAGAAAUCUUUAUAUGGAUUGAAACAAUCUCCAAGACAAUGGUAUAAAAGGUUUUAUUCCUUUAUGUUGGGUCAUGGUUAUUUGAGGAGCAUGUAUGAUAGUUGUGUUUAUUUCCGGAAGUUAGAUGAUGAUUCUUUUAUCUAUUUGUUGUUGUAUGUUGAUAACAUGCUCAUUGCUGACAAGAAUUUGUCAGAAAUGCACACUUUGAAAUUACAGUUAAGCAGUGAAUUUGAAAUGAAAGAUUUAGGAGCAGCUAAGAAAAUUCUUGGCAUGAAUAUUAAGCGAGAUCGAGGAGCAGGAAAGUUGUUCUUGACCCAAGAAAAUUACCUAAAGAAAGUCUUGGAGUGUUUUGGCAUGAAAAAUGCAAAACCUGUAAGUACUCCUCUUGCUAAUCAUUUUCGGCUAUUGGCUACUCAAUCACCACAAUCAGAUGAAGAGGAAAAUUAUAUGGCACGGAUUCCUUAUUCCAGUGCAGUCGGCAGUAUUAUGUAUGCAAUGGUUUGUACUCGUCCAGAUAUCUCAUAUGCAGUCAGUGUUGUUAGCAGAUAUAUGUCUUACCCUGGUAAAGCACAUUGGCAGGCUGUGAAAUGGAUUCUCAGAUACUUGCGAGGUACUUCAAGUGCAUGUUUGGAGUUUAGAAAAAAUAAUAACACUUUGGUUGGUUUUGUAGACUCAGAGUACGCUGGAGAUCUUGACAGGAGAAGAUCACUUUCAGGAUAUGCAUUUUGCAUUGGCGAUUGUGCUGUUAGUUGGAAAGCUACUCUACAACCUGUCGUACCUUUGUCUACUACAGAAGCAGAAUAUAUGGCUGUGACCGAGGCAAUCAAAGAAGCCUUGUGGUUGAAGAGUUUAUUUAGCGAGUUUAGUCUACAUCAAGGUGUUACAAUUAUUCAUUGUGAUAGUCAAAGUGCCAUACACUUGACUAAAGACCAGAUAUAUCAUGAGAGGACGAAACAUAUUAAUGUGAAGUAUCACUUUAUUCGGAAUAUCAUUGCUGAAGGAAAGAUCCUUAUUCAAAAAAUCAAUACCAAGAACAAUCCAGCUGACAUGUUUACGAAACCUCUUCCAGUUUACAAGUUCAAGCAGUGCUUGGAUUUGGUUGGUGUUCGUUGUAUGUGAUUUGGCCCAUUGGGACUUAUGUGGAGAAGGUGGAACAGUUUUACUAUUGUCGAUGGUGAGACUAAAAAUUAUGCCAAGAUGGAAAUUUGUUAACUUUUCAACCCCCACGAUGGUUGAAUUGGGUGACAAAAUUUUUCCGUCCCACAUCGGCAAUCAAGAAAGAAAAGCCUCCCCUUGUUUACCUAUAAAUAGGGGGCUUGGCGUUGAAGUUAAUUGCACCACUCAAGAGAGCAUUAUAUGGGCUAUUAGGUUCUUGGGUCAUCUAGCCCAUUUAGUCAAAUAUUUUAGGCUCUCUUGUUUUGAGUUUAGGAAUAUUUUCUAAUCCUUUUGUAAGUGCCAUUUUGACCUAGGAACCACUUUCCUACGGCUUUUGUAUUUCUUUUUCAUAGUAGAAAUAUUGCUCCUCCCUCGUCCGUGGACGUAGGUCAAUUUGACCGAAACACAUAAAUUUUGGUGUCUUUUAUUUUGCUUUAUUAUUUAUCUUUAUUAGGUUGUCACAACCCUUUUAUAUGGUCGAUUUUACCGCCUAAUUAUUAUAUAGCUGGUGUCUAUCGCCUAACCAUUAUAUGGUCGGUUAUACCGCCUAUUUUAUUCUAACUUUAGUUUGUUUAUUCUUGAGUCAGUCCUAACAAUUCUAAUUACAGAAAAAUCAACUGUUCUUUUGGCUCGUGGGAUUAGUCCAAAAUGUACAACAUUCUAUGAAAAUCAAGAGGAAGCAGACCAGCAUAAGAAAGGAAAGGGGCAAAGAUGUAGGUAGGUCAGGAAAUUGGUACCACAACAGAUAUACAUUUAACAGUACUUUCUGUAAAGCAUACCGAUGCCUUAUAAUAGUCAUAGGAAUUAAAGCAAGCACAUGAUAUCAAUUCUGUGAAUUUUUUCCCCUCUUUAACUUAAUGAUGGUAAGACACACCCGGAAACAUUUUUUUUAUCCAUUCAUAGCAUGAGAAACACUCGAUCCAUUGUUGUCAUCCCCUCCAUUUACUGUAUACAUUUCAAUUUUGGAAUUUAACAUAAACAGCUCACCAAAGUGCUAAGUUCAGCCUACCUCAGAGGGGGAAAAAACCCUAAGUUUCAGGUUUGUAUUCCACAAAGUUCCUUACCUAACUAGUUUUUUUUAAUAAAAAAAAUGAUAAUUUUAUUCUAAUAUUUGCACUAAUAGCAGCAAAUACAUUAAACGUGACUCAAGUAAAGUUUAAUGUAGCUAAUUUGACUGGAAACGUUUUUGGUACACAGAAGAAACAAAUCAAAUUAGUGAGCUAGGUUAAAGAGAUUAUGAUUUUGAUAGUCUUUUCUUCUGAUAACAUGCCAGAUAAAUCUGGAUCAUCAUACAAUCAAUCUGUGCACAUAAGUCCGUAAUCUAGGCAAAAAUAUUGCACGAGUACUUUAUAUAUGUUCUCUAGUAAAGAGUACUUUAGUAGCUUAGCCGUGGAGUCCGGAUGCCAUUUGAAAUUUCUUGUAGGCUACUGAGCCUAAUGUUGUUGAACAAUGAAGAAUGGAGAACUUAAAAUUAUGUUAAUAAAAUUUUAAUAUCUCAAAAGAAAGAUCAAACCACAAGCAAACACAGGAAAGUAGCUUGGUUUCAAGAAGGAAGAACUUAAUGGAGUAAUUAAUAACAUAAAACACACAUCAGUAAUUAAAUCCAACAAUAUAAUAUUGUCUCAUUACCAGUAGGAAUGGCAGGAUACAGCCCGUAGGACUAACUGCUACCAAAUACUAUAUAAGCCAACAAAUUACCAAGUAAUUUGUCCCCUUCCAAACUAAAUGAAGAGAGUUAAAGAACAUAGAAACUAUCUCCCUCCCUCCCUUCAUUUCCAUCUAGCAUAAGAUUGAUACUACAAAUAUGUGGUACUAAGCAUAAUCUUCUCAAUUAAUACUCUGUAGAGAAUAUAAGUGCACCACAUUCCACCCGAAGGUCUUGUAAUUAUGCUGCUGGUGCUACACCUCCGCCAUCAUCGUCGUCGUCGUCGUCGUCGCCAUCCCCUUCGUUUGCUAAAAUUGUAACAUUCCAAUUAUCAUCAAAAGCAUCUUCCUUGACAUCUAACUUGGUGGGAAAAACUUUCUUGCUGUUAACAAUCACCAUUCUAAUUAGAGCAAAAUCAAUUUUUUUUUCACUUGUGGGAAUAAUUUUUGCUUUUGUGGAUCUCUCAAGCUAGGGGCACCUAUUUAUAGCUUAAAGAUCAAUCGCAUUACAAACUUGAAUCUUAGUCCGUACUAUUUUUGCACUAGCUGUAGGUCUUAAAUGUCUUCUUU
rnacentral:lncRNA from 1 species